rnacentral:lncRNA from 1 species
UUUGUGAAAAGGUGAAAGUACGAUUUCUAUUCGCUUUGAUUUCAGUGUUUCACAAAACAGAGCGGCCCUGACGUUUAGUACUACUGCAGUUUAUGUAGUUGCUGACUACGUAGGAAUAUUAGACGCAAACCUUUCCUAUAUACCCCUCCCUUCCGGUGUUCCAUCCAACCCUGCGAAGCAGGAUGAACCAAACUUCUUUUCUGAAAGAGCAAUCCAGUAGCAAGGGGGAGAUUGUCUCGCAUUCCUGGACACAACAGGCACAUAAAUCGUUAUCCUGCAACUGAUGACGUUUUUAUGAACAGAUUUCCAUAAGAAACCUAAUCAAUUUACUAGCCUUAGCUGUAUUACAUCAUUACCUGCACGUGUAGGACAGUCCAUUUGUCGGAGCGAUAGCAAACUGGUCAUCACUCGUCAGAGCAAAGACUGUCGUACAAAUAGUGUAAUUGCUAUGGUCCAUCCAAAGUAUGCUUCCGGGCAGGGUUAGACUUGGUCCGCGCGUAUGUAAGUCAACUGAAAUCCUACCCAGGGCAGUGACGCAUUCUAGACCAAACAAGCCGCGCGAUGACGUAAUAGUAGUACUAGGAUGGCAGGCGCGCUAGGCCGCGCCCGUAUACUAAGAGUCCAUGCAUGCUCGUCUAAUUGAACAUCUCUGAGCAAUAUAAACACCAUAGUAAGAGAGCAGUAGACAUCACGGUCAAUGGACAACUUCAAUUUGCAUUGAACAUAAACGUGGUAGUUCUUUCGCUCAUAUGUAACAGGUGCGGUUAUAGGUUUGUCAAACUUAAAUAUGGGGAAAAAUACUGGUAUCGAUCAUUUGAAGCAAAAAAAAAAAGAAAAGAAAUUUUACGGCUUCCGGUCAGCAACCACUGACAGCAUCCAUUUGAAGCCAAGCUAUAGGCACAAUAUUUCACGAACUGUACGAACUAUCAGGUCAUGAUAUUCGAAAAAAGACAUGGUAGUUAAGAAGAACAUCUGCUGGUAUUUUGGUGCUCAAAGAAGAAAAAUAAAUUACAUGCUCAUCUGAAGCCAAGUAGCUGAAGCAGCACUGAAGAAGCAGUCAAUUAAAUUGGGGGAAAUGACCAAGGAAAGGAAAGUACAAAGACGAAAUAUUGCAUCAGGCCUUCUAUUUCAGGAUUGGGAACAAUUCAUCUGAUAAUAUGACUAUAUGAGGCAACCAAACAUUGAAACAUGUAAAGUCCAGAAUCAAAGAUAAAGUUGUUGAGAUGAAUUGAGGAAGUGCACGUAAGAACUAAAGAAAUGAAGAAAGUGCAGAGAUGGCGGAGCUUACACAGAUAUGGAGCUUACAGCCUUACACUGCCAUCACCUCUGCCGAGGACGCGGCAAGCCAGAUCAGGAAUUCAGGAUCCGAUGGCGAAGCCUUUUCUGGAGGUGUGCCCCGUCCAGGAACCAGAGGAGAGCGGCGAUGGCAGCGAGAGAGGAGAAACCCACGAAGGCUGCUCCGAUGUGGUCCGUCGACGCUGCUGCGUUCCCCGUUGGCGACGAGUCCGCCAUCUCCGCCAUAGUCGCGGCUGCUUUGGCGUGCUACCUCAGUGUGUGAGCUCCUGCCGCCGGUCUGCCUUUUGUGCGGCCACGAAGGGGAUGUGGACGGACGGGAUUGAGCCGGAGCGUCGGGGACGGCACUGGAGCCGAGGGUGCGGCAGCGACGGCGGAAGAGGCGAGGCGAACCAGACGGAGUCAAUUUCGUCCGCGGGCAAGGAAGGCGCGUACGCCUGCUACGUGAGCCUCCCGUACCUGCGUUUUCCUCAGGGUCGGUCCCGCAGAAGACGUGGCUGCCUGUAACAGGCAGAGACGCGGGGGAGCUCCCGGAGGCGUGCAAAUCUUACAGGGAUGUAUCUCUACUUUAUGCACUAUGCAGCCGAGAUCGCAGAUCAAACGGCUUGACACAAACCAGCAAGACGCCAAGUCGACGUUGCUUCAGUCUCCAAGCGUUUCGACGUCUCCACCGGUGGCCCACCGCCAACCAAUUAAACAACCUUCUCAAAAAAUAAAACCAGGUCAACUCCACUCAUCUAACCACGCGACCUAGUAUAAACGGCUGCGCGCUUAAGGAAGCAAACUGACUAGAUCAUCAGCUAAACAAGCACAGCCAAAGCGUCCGAGUCGUCGGCUCCGCGCCAUGGCUCACCUACCACGUUUCCUCCCCGUCAUCCUCUUCCCCUUCCUCUCCCUCGUCGCCCAUUGCCCCGCCUCCCAUGGCACCCCUCUUCCGCCCACCUACGACGUUUCCAUGUGCGUGGACUCGCCGAUCUGGUGCGGCGGCGUCGAAAUCCACUACCCGUUCUACCUCGCCAACGCGACCGCCUACCACUACGGCGCACCCUUCUCUUGCGGGUACACCGACCUGAAGAUAGCCUGCAAGGACGACGGGGAAACGCAGACCCCCGUCAUCCACCUCGGCCGAGCCGACUACACGGUCCAGAACAUCUUCUACAACAACAACAGCUUCCUGCUGGCCGACGCCGACGUGCUUCGCGGCGGCGAUUGCCCCAGGGUCCGCCACAACGUCAGCUUCGACGAGGCGUGGCUGCAGUUGCGCAACACCAGCUCGCACGACAAUCUCACCUUCUUCUUCGGCUGCUUCUCCAAGCAGCCAGGCGGCGGCGAUCCUCGGCCGCUCGGUUUCGACACGGAUAAGUACCGGAUCAACUGCACGGGGUCGGGGAACGCACCUGGUGGUGGAGCCUCGUUCGUGUUCGCCGACGAAGAGCUCGACAACGCCCAAGAGUAUGAGUUGGCCGCGCACUGCGGGGAGAUCGUCACCGUGCCGGUACGAAGCGAGGUUCUCGAUCUCAUGGCGAGUGAUCAGUCCAUGUUGGCGAGGGGUGGAUACGGCGGCUUGCUAAGGCAGGGGUUCGAGCUCGCUUGGACCCGGAGCACCAAGGAUCAAUGCCACCGGUGCGAGAACUCCGGCGGGCGGUGCGCCUACGGCUACGCCAAGGCUUUCCUCGGUUGCUUGUGCAGCGGGAAGGUCGGUGACCCGUACUGCAAAAACAGUAGUGCCAGCACAGUACAACCGCCAAGUAAGUCCUCCAGGCUCCAGGACUCAUCCUUCGAUUUUACCCCUCGUUUCUGCGAUCACCAGACGCGUUCCAGUAGCUUGUCGCGUUUGGUGCUUUCUUGGCUUCUUGUCCCCGCUGCGGCUGCUUCUCUGUUUAGCCCCGCGAGUUUUUUUUUUUUGAUAAAUGGUCCGCGAGUAGUUAUAGUUUGGCUGAAAAAUACCGCGUGGGUAUGUAGAAAAGAUAGGAAUUCCAAUUCGCAUUUCCUCAUUCGGUAUCCCGUUUUGUUCUUUUUCACGAACGAGAUUCAUCAGGCGGCCCGGCGUACUCCACAGCGUUUCGUAGAGCAUAGAACCAAACUGUCCUUCCUUUCAGUCUGAACUCCGAAACAAGAGUCAGGUUACUACCUACUGCUCACUGAAUUCAUGCCGAAAGUGUGAAACACAGCCUACACACCUGGUUUAAUUUGCAUCGCUGAAUUGAGAAGUUAGCUAGCAUUGGCUAUGGUAGGCAAAUGACCAGAAGCGUUUUCCUUACACGUUUAGAACACGUAUGAUACUUGAGUUGCUGCAGGCUCUUCGUUGGAGCGACAGCACACUGGCCGUGAGAGCAGAGACCGCCAUGCGAGUACCCAAACGCUACGUUUGGUCCAAAUUCAAGACGUGUUGCUGAGGUCGGAGAAAAGCCUAGUUUUGCGUUCACUGAGAUAGUUCGACUACGGUGGUUCCCAAAACAGAGCCGACUGGGUCCCCUGCCGUUUAUUAGUACCGCAAACUUUCUAACUGCUGACCACUCCGGACCAUUGAACGCAAAUCUUCUAGUGAGAAUACUUACAUGAAUAUCGAUCCAGAACCAAGACCAAGGACGCGACCUUUCUUUCUUCCAAGGGUGUUAGCCAAUGGAAAACGCGCGAGUGUGCACGGAACAGCGACGGGAGCGGGAGGUGCCAACACCUGACUUCGCCAAGGCAGAGUAAUUGCCUAAUUGGCAUCUUGCGAGACCCAGCUGGUCACAGUCAGCCACGGCUCUUUGCCCCACUUUGCCGCCAUGUCCCUCUCGUCGGCAACCCGGCCGCCGAUCGACCUUGAAACUCAUCAGGCCCUCGCGACCUUAUAAACGGAGGCCGGCCGCCACCAAACCAGAGGGGGCAAUAAAGUAGCCUGACCUGUUUAGGUUUAGCCAUGGCUCUCUUGCUACGGCACCGGCUGCUGCUGCCGCCGCUGCUUCUCCUUGCCAUCUUGGUUGCCGCUUCCCAUGGCGCGCCUUCCAGCGGGGGCGAUAGCUACGACACCUCCAUGUGCGUGCGGCAACCUUACAACUGCGGCAACGUCAACAUCAGCUACCCGUUCUAUAGCAAGAUGGAAACUCUCCUGGGAAACGACAGCUCGUACUGCGGCUACCCUGGCAUGGAGAUUCAGUGCGAGGAAGGCCGAGCCUUCCUGGAACUCGACAGUGGCAAGUACACCGUCUCGCGCAUCGACUACGAGCCCCCCGGAGUCUGGCUUGCUGAUCCUGAUGUCCUCAACGAGGGGAGCUGCCCCAGAGCCAAUCACAACGUGACGCUCCGGAACGGCUCAUGGCUGGACUAUCCUAACGACACCGUCGAUUACCUCGUCUUCUUUAUCAAUUGCAACUUCCUCAACGUCACCGACAUCGCUCGGCCACCGUCAAACACGGACUCCACCUGCAAAUUCGAUGACGAGCCGGCGUAUGGGAUGUCUUUUGUGUUUCGGAAGGAAGACGUGCCGCACCAGGACACGAAUUGGUGGCAGGUGUGCGGCAAAGUUAUCGAAGUGCCUGUGCUCAAAUCCGGUCUCCCUACCGAUCCACAAAAUGAUCCUAGAUGGAGGAACGGUGGGUACGGCAGCAGUCUUCGUGAAGGAUUCCAGUUGGCAUGGCACCAAGAGCGCAAGGCCCCCGCGUGUGACCAGUGCGAGCGAUCCAAGGGGCAGUGCGGCUACAACCAGACGGGGGGACACGUAGCAUGCUUGUGCUCCGGCGGGCGAGUCGGCGCUCCCAAUUGCUCCUCAGGUAAGCCUAGAAGCUUUUGCUCUGCUUUUCCAAACUGCCCGGGGAUUACUGGUUACUUUGCUUCAAUUCAUCGUACCGUCCUUCAUUUUGUUUUCUCUACAAUCGUUCCCCCUUUUUAGAUCCCUGUAGAGACUAGGGUCAAAGCUCCUUUUUAGGGAAUUUGUUAAUUGAUGAACAUAAAACUGUUUUGAACUUAAGUAAAAUUUGCCCACCUGUUCUCUUAGGUAUCUAUAAUUGCGUUUUUUUGUGGAUCCUUGAAUUAGCAAGAUAUUUGGAAAUGGCAAAGUUUCUGGUGAAAUUAUACGGAAUGUCUGUCACAACUCACAUGCAACUCUUUUUGGGUACAUCAAUCAACCGACUUGGAUCAUACGAGUCCUAAGAGGAAAAACACAGAACUGAUGACUAUAGGUGACUAGCGUGCAUUCAUGGUAGUGACUGGCAACAACCUACCAAUGGAUUCCCUACUAUCUAUGUUACUAUGUACAUGUUCAUUAUUAGUGUCAAUUUCCAAAUCUUUCAAAAGGCUUGAAACUACAGCCCAUUUUCCUUGUGUUGUUGAUCUAACACGGUUCCUCUUGUAUCGGUCACCUGCUUUAGGAUGGUAGAAUAUUCUUAGCUCCGUAAGACGACUAUAUAUGCCAUUUCUGUACACUUAUGUGCUUCUUUGCUUAUGUAAUUGCAGGACUUGAUACUAAGAAAACUAUAAUCGGUAAGCAACCUCUAUCUUGGGUUCACUUUCAGUGUUUUUCCUUUGUUUAUUCCUAUACUAAUCUGUUGCUAAGUCUGCUUUACAUGUGCCUAUAUAAUCUGCACCCAUCUUCAUUUUGUCCAAAAGAGCAGAACAAAGACAUAUGGCUAAUUAUUGGCACGCCGUGUUUUAAAUGAAGCUAGAAAUGAUGGAUAGAAGUUGAAAAAAAAAGUUGGAGUGGCACAAACUCAUCUUAUAUAGCCACCUCCUUCAAAGAAAUCAAGAGCAAAACCUUCCUCCUUAGAUUUGGUAUUUUUGAAGCUUUUCCCGAGCUCCUCUUGGGCAAGCUCCAAAUGGAAGGUUGCUUGGGAAAAAGAUGCCCGUGGCCUUAAAUGAGCGAGCUCUGUGCUGGCGGGCGACAUAAGCCAACCGCUAGCACAGAUGGGGUGUGUUGGCGGGUGCUGAGGUCGCCUGCUAGUACAGUGGCUUCUGUGCUGGCGGGCUCCCGCCGGCACAAGAAAGCUUUGUGCUAGCGGGUACCAAUAAUAAAUUGCCUGUGCUAGCACAAAUCAAAUUGAAACUACUGUUGUUGAUCUAACACGGUUCUUCUUGUUUCGUUCACCUGCCUUUUUCAUGAAGCCAUGUAAUCUGUUUUUGGGUGUACGGUAGAAUAUUGUUAGCUUUGUAAGAUGCUUAUAUAUGCAAUUUAUGUGCACUUAUGUGUUUCUUUGCGUGUGUAAUUUGCAGGGCAUGGUAAUAAGAAAACUACAAUCGGUAAGGAACCUCAAUCUUGGGUUCACUCAAUGUUUUUCUUUUGUAUUCGUAUACUAAUCUGUUACAAAGCCUGCUUUACAUAUGCCUAUAUAAUCUGCACCCAUCUUCAUUUAGCCUAAAAGAGCAGAAAACAAAGGCAUGGCACGCCAUGUUUUAAAAUCCAUGAUUCUCACAAAUAUAUUAUUUUGGAAUCCACUGCCGAUGACAACAAUGGCGAAAAAUUAUAUCGUCCCUUUGGAAAAUAAACUUUCGAGUUUCCCUACUGACUGGCAAUAUAUGCAUUAUGCUUUGCAAAAUGGAUUUUUAGAACGCUUCGCAAAAUGACUGAACAUUGGAGAAGAAUUUUUUAUCCUUCCUCUGGGAAAUAAACCUAUGUGUUUCCCUACUGACUUUGCAAAAUGAAUUUCUAGAGCACUUCACAAAAUGGAUUCAUUUGUGAUGUCUUGUUGUGAUGCAGGUAUUGUUGCAAGCACAUCGUGCCUUCUAUUUCUGAGUCUACUUAUUCUCGCGUUCUUCUUGACCUGCAAAUAUGGUUCGCUGCCCUUUAAAUCAAAGAACAAACCAAGGAUUGAAUCCUUUUUACAAAAGAAUGGGAACCUACAUCCUAAAAGAUACAAUUAUGCAGAUGUGAAAAGCAUGACAAAGUCUUUUGCUGUUAAGCUAGGCCAAGGUGGAUUUGGUGCUGUAUACAAAGGUAACCUCUCUGAUGGCGGCCAGGUAGCAGUAAAGAUGCUAAAGGACGUCAAGGGUGAUGGGGAGGAAUUUAUGAAUGAGGUGGCUAGCAUUAGCAGAACUUCUCAUGUCAAUGUUGUUACCCUUCUAGGAUUUUGUUUGCAAGGAUCCAAAAGGGCUCUCAUUUAUGAGUACAUGCCUAAUGGUUCAUUGGAAAGGUAUACCUUCGGCACCAACAUCAACAGUGAAAAUAUACUAAGUUGGGAGAAAUUAUUUGAAAUAGCAAUUGGCAUUGCUAGAGGGCUUGAAUAUCUCCAUCGAGGAUGCAAUACUCGCAUUGUGCAUUUUGAUAUCAAGCCCCACAACAUUCUAUUAGAUCAAGAUUUCUGUCCUAAGAUCUCUGAUUUUGGAUUGGCCAAGCUAUGCCUGAAUAAAGAGAGUGCUAUAUCCAUUGUCGGUGCAAGAGGAACAAUAGGCUAUAUUGCCCCUGAGGUCUAUUCAAAACGAUUUGGAACAGUAAGCAGCAAAUCUGAUGUUUAUAGUUAUGGAAUGAUGGUACUUGAGUUGGUUGGGGCAAGGGACAAAAAUAUCAAUGCAGAUAGCGAAUCUAGUAGCCAAUAUUUCCCUCAGUGGAUUUAUGAGCAUGUGGAUGAAUACUGCAUCAGUGCUUCUGAGAUUAAUGGUGAGACCACAGAGCUUGUGAGAAAGAUGAUAGUGGUAGGUUUGUGGUGUAUACAAGUGAUCCCAACUGAUCGGCCAACAAUGACUAGAGUCAUGGAGAUGCUGGAAGGCAGCACAAGUAAUCUUGAACUACCACCCAAAGUGCUCUUGGGUUGAUAUGCAUCAAUAUGUUCCCAAUAAAAAUGUUACUCACUGAAACCAGUUUGCUCAAAUGCAAAUUUUUGUUGUACUUAAAAAAAGGUCAUGCAUCAAAUGUUACUUUUGGUAUGUAAACAGAGAUGGAACUAAUAUAUGAAUUGCUGACCAGGGGUGGUCAUAUAGCAUCUCAUGAUGAUGUUAUUUGAUCAGACUAGCUACAAGUAUGGUUUCACUUCUUUGCACUCGUACUGAUUUCACUAGGCAAAUGCGUUACAGAUUCAGUAGUGAGUGAGUUUACAUCCCCACGAAAUACAUUAGCACAAAAUACGUUUUCAUCCCAAUUCAGAUCAGAACUGCAAUGCUCAGUUGCUGAAAAUACUUGAACUGGUUAUUGGAGAUUAGGUUUUGAGAGCCAGAGGUUUCCAAAAGUAAGAGUGGCCCAAAUAGGACCAACGCGGCCACUGCUCAGGUUUCAGAUGUUUGCCAUGGACCACAGCGGGUGCCGCCUGCGUCGAUGUUUGCCUCCACGACCUCCGCCUGAGUGCCCGUCUCGAUGCCAGGGUAGCUCCCAGCAGAUGGCUAUGCUCGCUGUCCAAAUCCACCGGAUCGCACAGACCAGAGCGCACACGAGAGGCGGCGGUGACUGGAAGGAAGAAAGGUGCUGACCAGAUCCUUUUUAGUUUUGCGCUGGCCGUGGGUCACUUGACAGAGCCCAACGAUUUGCGCGCCCAACACAACUUUGGUUGCAUGUGGAAAUUUCGCCGCCACGACUGACCGCGCGAUCUGUUAAUACGAUUGCGAAACAUACCCGAAACUGUGUAUUGUUUCAUUCAUUGGUUCAUUGCUGACAGCGAUUCAUCGGGCCGGUCGUGGUGAGGCUGGUCACUACUCCAGACACUGCUCACUACUUACUACUCCCUCCAUUUUUAUUUACUAGUAUGUGACAUGAUGCGCUGCUACUAAUGAAGGUCCAAGAUUUUAUUUUCUUAUUUAUUUACUUAUCUGGCCCUUGCUUUUAACACCUUGCCUCUCAUGCACAAUUACCUGAUUAAGCUAGCUUGUCAUAUAUUGCUUGCCUAGAAUGUUAGGAGCGACAUAUUUUUGCUUGAUUCAUCAUCAUCAUCUGCAUUCUUGAUUGUAUUACAGCAAAGAAGCUGGGACAACAGGGAGCAUGGAUAAGGAGGAGAAUAAGGAAGCAUCAGUGAGCAUUAGCAACGAUGACACGGACACCAAUGAUUUUGAGGAUGACGACUAUGAUGACGAUGAUGGGAAGCACACCGUGGCGCUUGGUCCUCAGGUUCCCCUCAAGGAGCACCUUGAGCUCGACAAGGUAACAUGGUUAUGCCUGAUCACGUCAUGCGAUUAUGUGACACCUUCAGUAUCUAGGUUAGGCCACCAUCUAUGCCGUUAUUACUGUUGCUUCCCCAUCCAUUUACCCUUUGAAUGCGAUUUAUUUGCCUAGGAUGAUGACAGCCUAAGGAGGUGGAAAGAGCAGCUCCUCGGAGAUGUUGAUACCACUAAGCUUGGAGGUACAUUUAAUACCGCACUAAUGCUCGCACAUGUGUUGCAAUGUCAGAAAUUUUAUGGUGUGUCCAUGGCAUGAUCUGAUAAUUUUUUUUCGCUGAAGCCUUGCUGUUUCUUUCAUUCACUUUCAGGCACACUAAGGGUGUGUUUGGUUGCAUACACCACAUGAUGCAUGCAUGGAUGAUCCUGGAUGGAGUGGUUCAACCAAUUUGCUUGUACCAUAUGGUUCACUCUAAUUAGUAGAAUAAUGUAUUAAGUGGGAUGGCCUCAUCCUGGAUGAGUUGGUCCAAUUCACCCAACCAAACAAAAGGAUCAUUAUUAUUUUGAAUCAUUUCAUACAUGAAUCAAAUGAUACAACCAACUAAACACACCCUAAAGCACAAAUAAGCUAACCUUUAAUUUUUUCUUAAGAGACAAGAUAACAUCGAGUUAGAAUUCCGGUGUAGCUAAAUAUGUUAACUUGAACAUGGCCUGGAAAGUGCAGUCAAUCAAACAAAGCUUCCAUAUGCUUGGACUGAUAGUACCUUUCUGUAUGCAGAGACUGCAGAACCAGAGGUGACCAUAUUGAACUUGACCAUCCUAAGUCCAGAGCGACCGGAUCUGGUUCUGCCGAUCCCACUUGUGCUGGAUGACAAGGGGUACGCAUUCUCGCUCAAGGAUGGGAGCACCUACAGUUUCCGCUUCUCCUCCACUGUCUCCAACAACAUUGUGUCUGGUCUCAGAUAUACACACAACUUCUGGAAGACUGGAGUAAGAGGUGACUUAUAAUCAAUCAUAUGCAUAGAUGUUUAUCAUCUUUGUUGGUUACGUGCUGAUGCUGCAAUUUAUGAGAAUAAGGAUGGUGGCAUGAAUUUUGAGUAGUUUUACAUGAUCCUUGUGUUAAUUGACAUCUGCAUUACAUUGUAGUGCUGGUUAUGUAAAUGCUUACCGUAAAACUACUAACUAUUUGGCUCAUGAAUUUUGCAUCACACAUGAUUGGUCUUUUUUAUGUAAACAUAAUUGCCAUUGUCCUUUUUUUUUGCAACGAAUGUUAAUGUUCAUCUUCACUUACCUGGAAGUCAGUUGGCCUUUGAUAUCGAAAUCCCAGUCAUUGAGUCAGCGCAUGCUCCCCCUCAGCCUAAGAUAGUUGACCUCCCGGUUGCUUUUGGCAGUGGAAAAUCAGAAGGUGAUGCUGGGGACCUACAGUCCUCAGCAGGAGCCUUACACAUACGAGGCCGAGGAAGCUACGACACCAAGCGGCAUCUUUGCAAGGGGUUCAUAUUCUGCAAAGCUGAAGGUAAGGAAACCCCUCUAGUAUUUUCUACACAUUUGAAGCCUACCUUCCUGAAUUUUCUACACAUUUGGAAAUGCAUAGCCCAGUGUCGUAAUGAAUUUGUAUGAAUUUGGCUUUCCAGUUCGUGGACGAUGAUGGGAAAGUCUACCUGGAAUGAGCUACUGCUUCGAGAUCCGAAAGGAUUGGCCAGCCUCGGCCUGAAACUGAGAAAGAGUGUGAAAACAGGGUUUAGGUGGCAUGUAACAGGGGAUGGAUAUUGGAUAGUCCUGUGUCUUGUGUACGAUUCUCGCUGAGCGACGGCGUGGCCCGGCAAUCUAAGCCGGAAGGCCGAAAACAGAAUUCGUUGUGUUGCCUGAUGGGCAUGGCUCGGAAGAAUCCUCGUGAGAUGCUACUUUGAAUCUGUGGAGUUCAUUUAUCCAUUGCUGUGUUGUUUCUGAACCCGCGGAAUGAACUUGUCUGUUACCUCUCAGCCUGCUGCCCUGGUUGUAUUGUAUUGUCCUCCUAGUCCUACUGCUAUAAUUUACGGAAUUUCUGACGACUACUCGUGGAAAAACAUGUAACUAGCAGAAACGUCUGUAAGUUGCUACGGAUCUUUAUUUUCACGUUAUUAUUCGCUUGUUCCUAAUAUGUUAGCUUCGCUUCCGAAUAUAUUGGUGCGUUCUACAUUUGCCACGUCAUCGAUCCACAACUCCGAAACCGCGGAACUUCUCCUCCACCCUUCCCUCUCUCACCAGCCAAUCUUAUUUCCUCCCUCCCUCUCUUCUCUCCCAACCUCUCCGGCACGCCCCGUGGAGGAACCCCGACGUUAUUGCAUCUAUACAUGGCGUAUCGCCCCGGGUGUAGGGGAGUUUGGCCCCAACACGUCUUCUCAAUGCAUUCCCCUGGUGUGUCUUUUCCGGCUUUUCCCCAUCAUUUACCACGUGCACAAGAAGAGAGCAUUGCCGCGGGCUGCCUCCCUCGCACCGCUCAAGCCCACGAAAAAACUUGCCGCUUACAAACUCUUUACCCUCCGAGGCUGGAGCAACGGGCACACGCCACUAACGCCUGGCGAGUUCCUUGUCUGAGGAGCGUUCUCUUACGCUGGCCUCAGCAUGGAUGAGAUGGCCUUUUGGUACUAAUACAAGCUUUGCAUUUAAGAAGAAACGGAUUGUAAAUCUCUCGGUCUGGCUCUGUCAUGUUGCUCGCUGCGUGCGCGUUCUGGAAAAUCCCCCAAAGGGGCCUGGGUUGCCUCACGAGACGCUCAUGGGCUUAUUCGGACCCACGAAAUAGCAAAACGUAACAAGUCCGGUCGGUCAUCUCGUUGGCUAGAUCGAGCUCUGAAGAAACAUACGACACGAUGACAUUUGAAAGACUGAAACUGAUCGAUUGCACGCAAGCUGGCUCAUCCGCCAUGCAUGCAACUCUAACGGGCUAACGGCUAACGCACCAGGGCCGCCUCACCUGCUAGGAGUGAGGAGGAGGAAAACAAUGGGGAAGGGUAAGGUGCAUCCGUCGCCGUCGCUGCCGGCGGCGGCGGCAGGAGGAGAUUCAAACCAAAGCACUACACCAUAAUAUGACAUAAGACCUUAAGGUACCUGAAGCGUCCCCACAUAAGUAGAGACUAAAUGUGAUACAAGUAUCAGUCCCAGGAGGUUGAUAACACAUUUAUUCGACAGAUAAUUCAGUUACCGUACAACUCCCGAGGGAGUGGGCGUGAAAGCCACGCAGCGAUAAGAAGUAAAUAAACAACAGCGGCUAACCAAGCGACUGCCAAAAGACAGCACUCGGGACUACACGGCAGCAGCAGCAUCUUGGAAAGGCCAACACCACAGGCAGCGUUGGGUGCGGACACGGCCUCUACUCAAAGUCCUCGGCGAUGAAGUCCGGGUCUUCCUCUGUGGCAACGAAGCAAGGGUGAGUACAAACGUACUCAACAAGUCCAACCCCAUCCACGGAGGUGGAUACAAGCAAGUAUACGCACAGGAUAUAUCAAGGAUAGGCUAGAGUUCAUUUGCGGUAAAGCUAGAUCUUUAACACAUGCAUGGGCUCGUUUUCAAAUGAGUUUUCGUAAAGCUUUUCUUUAGUAACCGAAACAUCGAGUGGGGUUGAUCCUACACAAAGGAUCCAAGUUUUAUCACUAUCGGACUCCCCGUCCGCCAUAGCUCACGGCACAACUGCCGGACACUUCCAAAAUACACACACACACACACAUGUGACCAUCCAUGCCCAAGUGCUAGUUAUGUGACCAAGCCAUAACUUGUCCAAUGCCGUGGACACGGCUACCCGGAUAGGUUUUAACUCUGCAGAGGUUGUACACUUUUUCCACAAGUAGGGUACCGCAGCACGAUCACCUUAGUGCCGGUGCGGAUCCUAACAAAGCCAUUACCCACCUUAGCUAAGACUGGCUAGUCCUCACGGAAGCACCCAAGGAGUUCACAGCUCAUCCACGAGACCGUAAUCGGGACCUAAGUCACCAAGAUAUUACUCCUUUUCCAUGGGCUCCCGUUGCUCACCAGCACCCCUGAAGACUAACAGUUCAGCUAGUGGGAUUUAUGCUAAGCCGUUGCCCAUACAACGGUCGAGUGGUUGCACGAUGGUUGAAUUAGGCAAGAUGACACAUCAACUCAGUCCUUAACCAUGACAAGAUGGAUAUCUCCCGACGUCGCUCAACCACUAAGGUACGAGCACCACAUCCUGGCAUUUCACACAAGAAACACCCAUCCAUCUCGUCUACACAUCCCUUUCCGGAAAAACCAUUUGCCCACUUGAACACACACACACACACAUUUCUUCUUCAAAUAAACCAUUAUAAUAAUGAUUGAAGUCGAGUAGCAAUUUCCUAAGUGCUCUAGUAGUGGUUAUCAUCUAAACAGAGCAAGUCAUAUUUAAAGAUAAACAAGAGACAACAAGGAAGAUUCAUAACAAUCAAGGGGUGGCUAUCCAACCAUGUCUUGCAAUAAAACAAUAUGCAUUUUAUAAAACAGGCCAAUAGGUUGUGUUUGAAAAACUAUGUAUUAAGUAUGCAUCGAAGGGUGAGAUUGGACUUGCCGUCUUCAAAGCCUUCUGGGAGUUCCGGCUCGCGCUGCUGGUCCUCGGGCUCGGGCUCGCGGUCAAACUCUUCCUCGGGUAAUCCGCGAUCUACGGCACACACAAACGGACACACAAAUAAAUAAAAGAAAAUCGGUUUUUAUCCGUUGAGCUCCGAACAGAAAACGCGAACGGAAAAUAGGUAGAAGUAAUAUUUUUGGGAAAUUUGGAUAUGGGUCGGCGGAAGUAUUCUGGAGGAUGACGUGGUAAAAUUUGGGAUUAGUUGGAGGAAGUUUGGCGCAUGAAAUGACGAGUUAAACAUGGAUUAGGGGCUUAAAAAGGAGGUUUAGGACUGAUUUGCGAUAAACCAGGGACCUAUUUGUAAAUAUUUCUGGAGGUGGAGGGGCUUAUUCGCGAAAAGGGUUAUGAGAGUGGUGGAAGGACCUAUGUGCAAUUUGGGAAAACUUGGGGGUCAAAUCGGGAAUAUAGGAAAUCUUAUCUCCUCCAGGAACUUGGAGAGGGAGAGAGAGAUGGGGGGGUUGGCCGGCGGCGGCCAGCCGGCCGGGCCUCGCCGGCGGCGAGCCGAGGGCCGGGGGUGGCGGAGGAAAGGGAGGGGGCUCCAUUUUGCCCAUUACCGUGCGAACUUGGAGGUGGAGGAGGGGCGGCCGGCGGUGGUUAGGUGGCGGCGGCGUUCGGGUGGAGGAGCACGGGCGGCGGUGGCGGCUUGGCACGGGCGGCGGGUGGAGGAGGUCGGGGGGGGUGCGGCGCAGCUUGGGGAGAGGGCGGCCGGGGCGGUCCCCUUUUAUAGCCGGCGAGGUGAGGGCGGCCGGUGUUGCGGUGGGGCCGGCGGUGGCGUGCAGCACGCGGCGGGCGGCGCCGGAGGGGCGGUAGGGGCCGGCGGUGGCGUGCGGUGGGCGACGACGUGGAGUAGGGCCGGGGCGCGGCGUGGCGGGCACGCCGGCGGGGCUGGGCCGGGGCCGGCAGUCGUGCCGGCGCCGGCGACGUGCGGCGUAGUUGCUGAGGCCGGGCGGGCCGGCGCAACGCGCGGGGCCGGGGCGGCCAGGCGCCGGAGCAGCCCAGGCGGCUGGGGGAGUUAAGGCCCGGGGGGGUCCGGCCAGGGGUGGUGUUGGGGCCGACCGGGAGGAGUGGCGCCAGGAAGAAGAAGGAAGGAGGAGAGAGAAGAUGGAAGGAGGAAGAAGAAAGAAGAAGAAGAAGAAAGGAAGAAGGAAAAAAAAGAAAAAGGAAAAGGGAGGGAAAAAGAGAAAGAAAAGGGGGAGACUGGCGGCGUUCGCGGCACGCGGUUGGAGCACGCGCACGGCAUCUGACGAUGGCACGCGGCGAGAAUUACGGGCACGGAUAAAAUGAUAGAUGUCGGCUUGGGUGCCGGGACGGCGAAAUCGCCGGGAAGAUUUUAGAUUUCCGGGAGCUCAGCGGUAAAAAGAUUUUGAAGCGAUUUUUAACGGGCGAUUUUAGGUUGGUGAUUUUGCGGAUGUUAUAGUACCACCAGAUAAACACGCAUCAGUAGCACGAUUAGUAAGAAAACCACAACUUAGAGCAUACAUCCAUGGCCCUCAAAGCAAGAAUAGUACUUAGAAGAAUCUUCAAGCAGAUGGUUUCACAUGUAGCUAGCACUAAACUACACUGCACAGAUAUAGCAACUAUAAAACCCACAUUCUAAAUUUCCUUGAAAUGAUCCUUUCAAUUGAGCUGACUAUUUGAUAAUGAUAGAACAACAAGCCACCUUCAUGAGUAUGUCAAUAGUACUAAAUCAAAAUCCUGUUCUAACAUCCAAAUAAAAGCAUCGCUAUGUCAACCAUGAAUCCAUGAUUCAUACAGUGCAUGGAUCUGUAUACACCUCAUAACUAGCACCAAAUAAUCCGACCAAUACUGCUUGAUGAAAUAAAUAGCAAAUUGACACCAUAUACUUGUAAAUUCCAAACACACCUAAGCAACCAUAUCUUAUCAUAACUAAACCUUCUGAUGAGACUGACUACCAUGAGAGGAACAUGCCCAAUGCAAAAACCGCAGAAUUCUGAGCACUCCACUUGCCUCCGUAUUCCAAUAACAAGUAUCAGGUACAGUUUCCAUCACAAAAAUUAGGCGUACGAACAAAUUAUCCUGAACAGAAUCAUCAUGCAAACCAGAGAUAGAUCGAGACCAAACCCUUCAAAUUAUCCUAUUUCGGCUAAGCCCGGAUGCUUCGGGUGCUACAUGGCCUACUGGUCCUGUUGGGAUGGGUCCCUGGAGGGCGACCGCGAGGCCAUCCACCACGCCAUCGAGGCCUUCGAGGAGCACCUGGCGAAAGAAGAGAUAGAGGGCACCGGUGGCGACAAGUGGGGAGGCGGGGCCCGUCGUGGCCGUAAGAAGCGCGCCGCCAAGGAGAAGGCCACCAAGGGGAAGGGGAAGGGCAAGAGCAAGGAGGUCGUCGUCGACCCCCUCCACCUCCCACCGCCGCCGAUGGCAACGGCGGCUUCCCCUACUCCGGAGGAGGUCCCGAAGGCGGAGGACGGCGCGGAGUACCUCACCGCGGAGGAGGAGAAGGAGCAUGAGCUGGAGAAUGCCGCCGCCGGCGAGGAGGAUAAGCGGGGGCGCGGUUGGGGCGGCGUGCUGGCCGACCUCGCUGUCGAGGCCGUGCGCAGGGGCAGCGCGGGGUAGCGACGGGACACCCCGCUCUGGCCGUCGUUCGCGCCCAAUCCCCCCCUUUGCCUCUGAAAGGACAAGCUUUUUCCCCUUUAACCCCCUCCCUUCCCUUCUUUUUCCACCCGAGCUCCUCAUCUGUUCAGCAUUUGGACUGCGGGUUGAUUAUUAAAAAGUUGAGGAACUUUUUUGCAAAAUGACCACAAUGGUUGGAAGAAACAACCGCUCUUUUAAUUAGGUAUAGAUAAGACGCACAUGCAUAUCAAAAUUCAAACUUUACAAUGUUUGACUAAUAAUUUUUUAUUUUUAUAAUGUAAAUUUUAUAUGGUUGGAUUCGUAAUCAAAUAUACUCUGGAAUGAUUAUAAGUUUAUAACCAUAAAUAAUAUAAUAUAAGAUAAAUGAAUGGUCAAAGUGUUAUUUGGAAAACCGUGCUAAGUCGUAACAUGCCUUAUAAAUCUAGAUGGAGGGAGUACUAGUCAGCAGCCACUAGCCACUGGUGCAGGUUUUCCUAAUUUGAUUUGGCUUAUACUCCCUCUAUCCCAAAAAUAAAUUGUCAACGUUAACUUAUUUAGUAUGUGAAUGUGCAGGUGGAAGUCAAUUAGAGUCAAAUGUGGCUAAUAAAUAGGAACAAGCAAAAUCAUCUCAUAUUUUUGUUAAUUUAUCCUACUUUUUUUUAGGAUGGUUUGUUUUUUUAACAGAGGUAGUAUUGAUCAAUACUCCUACAUUUUAAUCCACUUUUAGUAACACUCUGUAUGUAUCAACAAAGGUAAAAGUUGGCCCACCAGAGAGAAGAUGAUGAGCCAAGAGGAGUUACCUGCACUAUGAGUUGAGUGGUCUAGUAGACAGUAAUGGAUAGACUCUUGUACUCAAUUUGUGAUGGAGUAUUAUUCUAUAGUUCAAACCAAACCUUUUCAUGGGUAUCUAACUCGGAUCUAGUUUGGGAGCACAAUGGUAGGUCCGAGUGCGCUGCCACCUAGACUGGGUUUCGAGGAGGCAGGGGGCAGGGGAUAACAAAUGAUGUGAUGCGGGACGGUAGAUGGUAGGUUCCACCUAUGUGAUCAACAUUCUCAAGGGCAAUUUAGUGUAUUCACCAAUAAUCUAACAUGCACUCUGGUUGAAAGUGAGAUAGAAUUGAUGGAAAUGUUAAACGAGGUAUAAAAGUUUUAACAUAAAAAUGGCACAUGAGAAGUUGGAAGAAGAUAUACGAAGAAUGGCUUGGAUUAAAAGGAAGAUGGAGUAAAAAUACACAACAAAGUCAUUAAUGGAUAGCUCUCAUCGGAACAAUCAGUUGGACAUAUGGAUGACCUAAAUUGGACAGUGAACGUGAAAGUUAUGGAGAUUGAAAGAUGACAUGAACAAUAAUACAGUAUCACCUCGUUGAUUCGGUGCGGUGGUGUUUUCAAUGAUUCCCAAUGCAAGGUCAUACUGCAUGAUGGACUUUACUAUCAGAUAGCUCUCCUCAUGCUGAUCAAAAUGGACAUGUAGAUGAACCCAGGGAGUUAUGUUCGACUAAAGGUGACGCGCUACAAUUGAUUGGUCUUAGUUAUAAAUUGAGCAUCAAAAUGCUCGGUCGUUACAGAUAGUUUGGGGAUUUUCUUCCAUAGUAGCACCGAUUGAUUCGGUCCUUCUUUGCUAAAUGAGCCGGCCAUUCCAUAGAGUCGAGAGGUUCACCAAUAGUAAGAUCGAUUGAUAUGGUGCUACUAUAGCAAAAUGGGUCGGUCAUUCCAUAGAGAUUGAGGAGGCUUCUCUAACCUCACCGAUUAAUUCGGUAAAAUGCAUUGGUCCUUCCACCGAAUGAGUAAGCCAUUCUAGAGCCGAAUCUGAGCCGAGCCUAUGAGCAACGAUCGAUUCAAUCAGGCCUAACCCUAAGGCAUCAACGAAUGGGUCGGUACUUGUUCCAAAUUAUGGAUUUUAACGUGUUUUCUAGAUUUAUUUUGUUUGAGGGUUUUCUUAGCCCAUGUAUUAUUGGUUCGGGACUAUUUAAUGCUCCCCUAUCUUUUGGACAAGUCCAUACCACCCCACAUAUACUUGAGGGGUGUAGGCUGAUUGAAUCAACCCAAUCAAAUCUAUCAAACACAAUUAGUCCUUUUUUCCCUUUACUGACUUUUCCAACCCUAGUUACUGUUCAUUUUUUUCAUCUCCACAAUGAUCUACAACGUCCUAGCUAGCCUGCUGAGUCUAGGGCACUCCAUUGACCGCCACAUCGUGAUGGAUCCCUCUCAGGCACGGCAUUCAUCAGAUUCAAGUCCUUCUACAGCAUGCCUUGCACAUCAUACUCGUUGUUGAGGGUACAUGUUGUGCCUUUAGUGUAAGGCAUGAGCCAGUAAUAUGGAAAGAAAAUAUUUAUAGUGUCAAACUGUCGAUCGAAGUAAGGCAUAUAAAUUUCCUCAUUUUUUUUGCCAUGUCAAACAUUUAGGCAGCGUCGGAGGAAAUAAAUAGCAGUUGACUCGUGAUGUACAACCAAAAAAAAGUUUGUAGGAUCAAGUUCCACCACUGAAAUGGCAAGUUCAUGUUUGGAAUGGAUGAAUCAGCGUUAUUGAGGCUUUGACUUUUCUUCUGCCCCAAAGAAAAAUCGGAGUGCAGUUGUUAAUAUUUAUCAGGAAAUUAUUUAUAAAUAUAUAAAUACCAUUUUCCACACUGGUAGAGAUCAGCGGACACUACUAGUACAGUACUACUACCAAGUUUUACAAGUCAAGUCGCCGGUAGCCGAACUCUUAACACUCGUUCAGUUGGUAUUUUUGACUCUCCUUACACCAAGUGAUGGUCGACGUCUCCAUUGUUAAAGGAUAGGUUUCGGUUUCUCUCUUCCCCCGCAUCACUUUUCUUUCACGAUUUUCUGCUUGCUUGAACUUCAGACGGUGUGGAAUGUUCCUUUGCUGAGAUUGCGCGGUUACUUUUAUGUUUGAUCAUACUUUUUCCAAGAAAAAAUCUCGCGGUUGACGUGUUCCUGUGUGAGGACGUUCUUUCCGCGUAAUCGCGAGUCGCCGCUCGGAAGUCGUGCGUGCGCCGCUCGGAAGCUCACAUACCAAUCGGAGCUAACAAAUUAAAACAGCCAGAUGAGCUCGCCUCGCCUUCUCGCCGUCAUGGCUGCUCACCUACCACGCCUCCCCGUCCUCCUCUUCAUCUUCCUCGCCCUUCAUGUCCCCGCCUCCCAUGGCGACCCUCUUCCAACCACAUACGAUGGCUCCAUAUGCUUGGAGUCGUCGUUCUCGUGCGGCAGAGUCCAAAUCCGCUACCCGUUCUACCUUGCCAAUUCAACCAAAGCAACCUCCGAUUACAGCGGAAACUACUCUUGCGGCUACACCGAUCUGGAGAUCUCCUGCCUGGGCGAGGGGCCGAGCGCGAGCCCGGUCAUCCGUCUCGGCGGCGAAACCUACACCGUUCAGGACAUCUCCUACGACAGCGACAACUACAAGGUUACUCUGGUGGACAGAGACGUGCUCGUCGGCGGCAGCUGCCCUGCAGUCCGCCACGGCGUCACCUUCGACGGGAUGUGGCUGCAUAACACCAGCUCCAACGACGACCUCACCUUCUACUUCGGCUGCUACUCAGGCGGGCCCCGCAUGCCGGCUGGAUUGCACAAAUACCAAAUCGACUGCAAUUUCGAGAGUCCGGUUCCUGGCGGCGGAGUUGCGUUUGUAUUGACACCUGAUGAUCAUGACAAAGCCCAAGAGCACGACCUGGCUGCAGACUGCACGGAGGUUGUCUCCGUGCUAGUAAAGACUGAUGCUCUGAGUAUGGCAAGUAACCGGACCAACUUUACAAGUGGCGGAUAUGGGGACGUGCUGAAGCAGGGGUUCGAGUUGAGCUGGAGCCGUAUCGCGACGGAUCAGUGUCCCCAGUGCGAGCAGUCCGGUGGAAAGUGCUCCUACAGUCAGAACAAGAGAUUCCAGGGUUGCUUGUGCUCCGACAGGAAGGUGGGCAACCCGGACUGCAACAGCACCGCGCCUGCGCCUGCGCCUGCAUCAAGUAAGUCUUUCAGACCUGAUGCUUCGAUUGCACAUUCGGCAGUUUCUUGUGACCCUCGUUAAUUCGCGUCUCGUUGUGUCCCGCUGAUUGCCUCGUGCUAAUGGUGAAAGUUAUGGGCUGGCCUGGUCUGAAAUUAGUUGGGUCUGCCUGGAAAAUUAGUGCCUGGGUAGGUAGAAAAUAGAAGCUCUGGUUCCCGUUCUAAUCAAAUGACAAGGACGGUUAUAGCCGUAUUUGCUUUGAUAUACUUUUUCACCAAAUCCGUGCUUUUUCACGAACGAUUCAGGCGGUCUGCCAUGCUCCACAACCGUAUUACCCUUGUUUCAGUGUAGAACAUACCAGUCCACACUCCACAGACCAGGAGCUUAGAACUGGCUUUGGCAGGCAGUGGCAGAAUGUUCAGUGGCGCACUUGGUUAAUUAGAUGAGUGGACUUUUUUUGGACUUGACAUGGUUAUAAGCAGCGACUACACCGUCCAGAACAUCUUCUACAACACCAGAACCAUCAUCCUGGCCGACAGCGACGUGAUGAUCGGCGGUGGCUGCCCCAGCGUCCGCCACAACGUCAGCUUCGGCCGGGAGUGGCUGCGGCUGCACGACACCAGCUCGCACGACCACAACCUCACCUUCUUCUUCGGCUGCUACCGUCGCGACCCCGUGCCGCCCGGACUUGCCGCGUACAGAGUCAACUGCUCGGGGUUCCAGAGCCCGCCCGGAGCCGGCGGCUGAGUCUCCUUCGUGUUCGCGUCGUCUCGAGAGGUCGUUGACACAUCCCACGAGUACGAGCUGGCCGCUGCGCACUGCGGCGAGGUCGUCACCGUGCCGGUGCGCAGCGAGAGUCUGGUGGGGAGUGACCAGGCCAUGUUGGCAAGCGGCGGAUGCGGCGACGUGCUUAGGAAGGGGUUCGAGCUGGCCUGGAGCCGGAGGACGACGGAUCUGUGCUACCUGUGGGAGCGGCGGGACUCCGGCGGGCACUGCGCCUACGGCCCGAGCAAGGAAUUCCUUGGCUGCUUGUGCUACGACGGGAAGGUGAUCUAUCGGAGCUGCAGAGGCAAUGGUGCCAUCGAGUAAGUCGUUCGCAACUGAUCCUUCGACGAUUUCACUCGCUCAAUUCUGGGGUCUCCAGUGACACCAGACCACGGGUUAGCUUCCUUGUGCCCCGUGUGUUCCGUGUGCACGACAGCGCGUUCCCCUCUGCUCUGCUGCUGUUUGACUUGACCUGGUCCGGAGUAGUUGGUUUGCCUGAAAAAUAUACGUGGGUAGCAGGGUAGGUAGAAAAACGUAGGAAUUCUGAUUCCUAUUUCCGUUCCUCAUUCGACAAAGGAUUACACCCUUUUUCAUGAACGAGAUUCAUCAGACGGCCCGGCGGCCUGCUGUGCUCCACAGCGUCUUGUAGAGCAGAGAACCAAACUGUCCUUGCUUUCAGUCUGAACUCCGAAACAAUAGUCAGGUUUACUACCUACUACGACUAUUGAAAGUGUGAAACACAGCCUGCACAUACCUGGUUUGCAUCGCUGAAUUGAGAGGUUAGCUAGCAACUGACCAGAACCUUUUUUUUUUCCGUAACACUCUAGAACACGUGUGAUACUUGAGUUGCUGCAGGCUCUUCAUUGGAGCGACAGCACACUGGCCGUGGGAGCAGAGACCGCCAUGCGAGUACCCCAAACGCUAUGUUUGGUCCAAAUUCAAGACGUGUUGCUGAAGUCGGAGAAAAGCCUAGUUUUGUGUUCACUGGACCAACUUCACAAGUGGCGGAUACGGGGACGUGCUGAAGCAGGUGUUCAAGUUGAGCUGGAGCCGUAUCGCGACGGAUCAGUCUCCCCUGUGCGAGGGUUGCUUGUGCUCCAACCGCAAGGCGGGUACCCGGACUGCAGACCAAGUAAGUCUCCAACACUGAACUAGGGGUGGCUAUCGAGCCAGCUCGGCUCGGCUCGGCUCGCUCUGGCUCGUUAGGAUAAGGAGCUGGCUCGGCUCAGCUCGUUAUCUUAACGAGCUAGAAGUCCUGCUCGGAUCGGCUCGUUUGCCAGCUCGAGCUGGCUCGUUUAGCUCGUGAGCUAGCUCGUUAACGCUGUGUCCAGGGUCGCGAUGGCCGUCGCUGCCGGCGCCAUGUAGCCCCGGAGCCCUGCCCGCAUAGACGCAAAAGCUUGCUCAGCACAAGAUUUGGUGGCUGACUUGCUACAGAUGAGAAGAAUCAACUCAAAUUGCUAGCAAGUUCCCGCUGACUGAUUGGUUACCUUGUAGUGGCUGAAAUCGAACUAGAGCUGUUCUUUCAAAAAAAAGAACUAGAGCUGCGGUAUGCUUGGCCUCCGGGAGCAGCGUGCUCCCUUGCCACCUCCUACUCUGCAGGUCCGCACUUGAAGGCGGAGCAGAUGGCCACGAUGGCUUCCGCCGCCAGCAGGAAUCAGAAGCAGCAGCAGCGCCGCACCCACCUGCCUCUCCGGCUUUUGCCGCCCGACCCGUCGUUCCUGCAGGCUGUAGUGGUCGUCCCCAGCAAGCGCAUGGCAGAUUGCAGCAAUGCCUGCUUGUUCGAAGCUGCAGUGGCGUCGGGCGGCGGUGUCGAGCGGCAGGUUGGCGACGCGUGUGGACGCGACGGCGGACCGGCAGGUCCGCAGGUGAGCGAGACACGAGAGGCAAGUGCUAGCGGCUGGGCAUGCACGAGAGUGGAUAAGGUUGAUUGGAGCUUUGGAGGAGCGCUGGAGUCUUGAGGGUGUUUAGUUUGCUACUUGGGCUGUUGCUGGGCUUAUAGCUUUCGCGGGCUGCUUAGCAAUUAGCACUGGCCUGCUUCCUCGAAUGCUGCUGGCCUGCCACUGAACGGCUCGUUUGGCUCGUGAGCCAACUCGAGCUGGCUCGUUGUCGUAACGAGCUGAAAUGCUAGCUUGGCUCGUUGAGAGAAAUUUUAGUCAUAGCUUAAAAUAGCAAUCCAUAUAGUCAUCUGCUGGAGCUAGUUUUUUUUGUUUUUAAGUAUUCUGGUAGUUUUUAGUAUAGCAAACCAGUUCAGGUCAUUUACUGCAGAUGAUCUGACAUCAUUUUGAUAGGCAAGUACAUGUCUAUAGUAAGCAUCUAUUGAAUCUGGAUUUCCAUCUUAAGGAUCCCUUUGUUUGUGCUUUUCAAAGUAUUUUCGGCUUAAAAAAAACAAAAGCCAACCAAAUAGGUAAUCCCAUACAAUUGAUUUCAAGAAAAGCAGCUUUCCCUCUGUAUAAAUCUCAUAGCACCUCCUCCCUUACUUUUCCUGACUAUGAGGGAUAACUUUUUCACAAAAUUACCUUCCUGUCAUCGGUUAUGAGCAUGCCCCUUCAAUUUUCUUUUCUAUCAUGUCAUCUCCUCCCUCGUGGUUCCCUCUCGCUCGCUUGUUUUCCUCCGACGACGAACGCUUGGGUCAUGAACUCUUCGGCCUCCCUCCGCCCUCCUCCUCCCAGGCGCCAGCACCCCUAUCCGCCCCACGCCAGCACCCGCCUCCAUCUACCAUCCUCCACCUAGGUGCACAAGUAGUAGGUGCGCCCGGCCUCCUCCUCCUCGGCGGACGGUGCCAAUCUGGAUCUCGGGCUUGCCGGCGGAGUCCUCCCCUCUGACAACUCCAACACCGGCAACUCCAACUCGAGUCUUUCGGCUGGCUUGCUCCCGAGCGGCGGGUCCUCGAGCCCCCGGCGGUCGGCGCGGGCGCGGUCCCUGUCCCGGCAACGCGACCUCCUCGUCGAGCCCCCUCCCCUAACUGCGGCCGCGACCGCGGCAAUGCUGCUGCCGGCGAGGCCGACGUUGUCCCCGUCAUCUGUGCGCCGGCUCCUGCGCGGCCAAGGUUUGUCUCUUUGAGUCCAGAGGAAGAAUAAGGUGCUCAUCGUGGUCCGUUCAUCAGUGAGAAAGGGAAGGGUUGAGUAGGGUGAAGUAUGAAUGACACGUGGAGUUUCACUCACAAGUGUUUCCUAAAAGUCACAGUUGUUCCACCAAACAGCUUUUCCAUAGCUCACUACUACUUUUCCAUAGCUCACAGCUAAUUUUUUCAAAAGUUACAGCUUAACCAAACACACCCUAAGAGUCUGCCACGCCACAAAGCACCUUUCUCAGCGAAAUCGUUCCUAAUGAACCAAAAAAACUGUUUUUUAGCAAAGUCGGAGCCUUUUAAGAGCAAUUACAAUCAGCGUCGGCAACGACAUGCAGCCGGUGGCACAUUGUUCUGCCACUUCUCCACCGGACUGAGACGCGUAACCAGAUGGGCACACUCGUGCGCUACAUUAUUACAUAAACGACUCACAAAGGAGAAUUUAAAAUCUAAGAGGCUCCGACUAAGAGAUUCAAUCUGUUGCAGCCAAGGCGAGAUCCGCGACCGCUGCUCUUUGCGUUGCUCCCAUAGUUUCACCAGCUUCUGGCAAUCUGUCUCCAGGUGGACACACUGGGUUUGAAAGUCUACUGCCAGCUUGAGGCCAUCAUAUGCCGCCAUCGCCUCAGCCACCAGGCCAUCCAGGCAGGAGUCUAUCCAUCUCGCGCGAGCGCCCAAGCAUCUCCCGUCGUGAUCACGGAGCACCCCACCCGAGGCACCAGUGUGGGUAUCUUCCUGGAACGCUGCAUCAGUGUUGCACUUUAUCUACCCCAGCUCCGGCUUCUUCUUCCUCCAUUUCAGCUGGUCUAACCGGCUUCUUCACCUUGCCCGCUUUGACCAUCUGCCAUAGAUCGAAAGCUGUAUUCCUGAACCAAAAUACUGUUUUGAAGUAAACUUAAGUAAAAUUUGCCCACCAGUCGCAACUCGCACCUUGGUAUCAGGACUAGCGGGUUUCCUUGGUGGAUUUUUGAGUUAGCAAGAAAUGUGUUACAUAGAAGUACUACAGUAUUUGGAAAUGGCAAAUUUUCUGGUGAAAUUAUAUGAAAUAUCUGUCACAACUCACAAGCAAUUCUUUUGCGCCCGUCAAUUAACCAACUUGGAUCAUGUGAGUCCUAAGAGGACAAAUACAGAGCCGAUGACUACAGGCGACUAGCAUGUGUUCCUGGUAGUGACUGGCAAUGCCAAUGGAUUCCAUGUAUCUAUGUACAUGUUCAAUAUUGGUGUCAAACUGUCAAUUGCCAAAUCUUUCUAGAGAAGGCUUGAAACUAGUGCCUAUUUUCGUUCACCUGCCUUUUUCAUGAAGCCAUGUAAUCUGUUUUUGGGUGUACGGUAGAAUAUUGUUAGCUUUGUAAGAUGCUUAUAUAUGCAAUUUAUGUGCACUUAUGUGUUUCUUUGCGUGUGUAAUUUGCAGGGCAUGGUAAUAAGAAAACUACAAUCGGUAAGGAACCUCAAUCUUGGGUUCACUCAGUGUUUUUCUUUUGUAUAUUCGUAUACUAAUCUGUUACAAAGCCUGCUUUACAUGUGCCUAUAUAAUCUGCACCCAGUUCAUUUAGCAUAAAAGAGCAGAAAACAAAGGCAUGGCACGCCAUGUUUUAAAAUCCAUGAUUCUCACAAAUAUAUUAUUUUGGAAUCCACUGCCGGUGACAACAAUGCCGAAAAAUUAUAUCGUCCCUUUGGAAAAUAAACUUUCGAGUUUCCCUACUGACCGGCAAUAUAUGCAUUAUGCUUUGCAAAAUGGAUUUUUAGAACGCUUCGCAAAAUGACUGAACAUUGGAGAAGAAUUUUUAUCCUUCCUCUGGGAAAUAAACCUAUGUGUUUCCCUACUGACUUUGCAAAAUGAAUUCCUAGAGCACUUCACAAAAUGGAUUCACUUGUGAUGCCUUGUUGUGAUGCAGAUAUUGUUGCAAGCAUAUCGAGCCUUCUAUUUCUGAGUCUACUUAUUCUCGCGUUCUUCUUGACCUGCAAAUAUGGUUCACUGCCCUUUAAAUCAAAGAACAAACCAAGGAUUGAAUCCUUUUUACAAAAGAAUGGGAACCUACAUCCUAAAAGAUACAGUUAUGCAGAUGUGAAAAGAAUGACAAAGUCUUUUGCUGUUAAGCUAGGCCAAGGUGGAUUUGGUGCUGUAUACAAAGGUAACCUCUCUAAUGGUAGCCAGGUAGCAGUAAAGAUGCUAAAGGACGUCAAGGGUGAUGGGGAGGAAUUUAUGAAUGAGGUGGCUAGCAUUAGCAGAACUUCUCAUGUCAAUGUUGUUACCCUUCUAGGAUUUUGUUUGGAAGGAUCCAAAAGGGCUCUCAUUUACGAGUACAUGCCUAAUGGUUCACUGGAAAGGUAUGUCUUCAGCAGCAAUUUAAACAGUGAAAAUACACUAAGCUGGGAGAAAUUAUUUGACAUAGCAAUUGGCAUUGCUAGAGGACUUGAAUAUCUCCACCGAGGAUGCAAUACUCGCAUCGUGCAUUUUGACAUCAAACCCCAAAAUAUUCUAUUAGACCACGAUUUUCGCCCUAAGAUUUCUGAUUUUGGAUUGGUCAAGCUAUGCCUGAAUAAAGAGAGCGUUAUCUCCAUUGGUGGUGCAAGAGGAACAAUAGGAUACAUUGCCCCUGAGGUGUACUCAAGGCAAUUUGGGAUAGUAAGUAGCAAGUCUGAUGUCUACAGUUAUGGUAUGAUGGUGCUUGAGAUGAUUGGGGUAAGGGACAAAAAUAUCAAUGCAGAUAGCGAAUCUAGUAGCCAAUAUUUCCCUCAGUGGAUUUAUGAGCAUGUGGAUGAAUACUGCAUCAGUGCUUCUGAGAUUAAUGGUGAGACUACAGAGCUUGUGAGAAAGAUGAUAGUGGUAGGUCUCUGGUGCAUACAAGUAAGUCCAACUGAUCGGCCAACAAUGACUAGAGUCGUGGAGAUGCUAGAAGGCAGCACAAGUAACCUGGAAUUGCCACCAAAAGUGCUCUUGAGUUGAUAAGGAUCCAUAUGUUCCUAAUAAAAUGUUGCUAACUGAUACCAGAUUUCACACCUGCAAAAUAUUUGCUGUAUAUUGAAAAAUAAAGGGCUGCCUCAGAUGUUAUUUUUGGUCUGUAAACAUGCUUUCUAAUUUUAUUUGCCAGUAAUUAGCUGGCUGGGGGAUCACACAACGUUGUAUGAUGGUAUAAUUUGGAUCAUGCUGGCUACUAUUACUAGUACAAGCUCUCUUCUGUGUCAUUUGUACUCAGUUCAUUGGACAAUUGCAUUUCAUAUUCAGUAUUAGAUUAGGUUUUAAAUACCUACCCCUCCUACAAAAUUCAAUACAAACUGCCGAUGACAACUAAAACUUCCCUUGAUGAUUCAGAUCAGAACUACGUACAAAUCUACAGUGUAAAGUUCUUGCAUACCUGAAUUAGUUAUUGGACAUUGGGGAUUUAGACACUGGGGUUACCGAAGUCUGGGUGGCUAGCAAUGCUCCCCGAUGCGAUAGAUUGCCUUCGCCUAAGUCCAGGCACCGAAAGACUCAUCCCCGGAAUCGCGAGGCUCACCAUCGCUGGACUCAUCGGAUUCCAAUUUCCAGUGCCGUGCGGGUUAACGGCGAGAUCGUGGAAAAGGCGAGAGGUAGCCGAGAGGACGCGAUGGGCCAUUUUAUUUUGACGGGCCGUGGGCUACCACCCAGGUUUUCAUGUUCUUUUCCGCUGGUAGGUUGGCCCAUUUACCAUCGCUGUUACUGUACCUGUUACCAUCGAACUCAUCCAGGAUGAUGGAGGUAAUCUUCGGACUCAAAUCCAAGAAGACCUUGUGAGUUGACCCGCGAUCUUGCUGAAUCGUCGGCGGAACAAUAAAAUGGAUCAGUUGAACCUGUGCUCCAUGUCAUACUCGGACUCGCUGUAUCUCCUAAUAUAUAUCUCUCUCUCGAGUCUCGACGCCGCAUAUGCAGAGGCGGAGAGGUUAGUCGUACGUGAUCAUCAAGAUCUAGCCGCUGUUCGCCAUGGGUUCACCGAACGCGGCCAGAAAAAGCUGAAAAAAGCACGCCGUUUGGCUGCUAGUUUCAGCUUAUUUUAGCUGUAAGCAUGAUUUAAACUGCAAACAGGAUCAAAAUCUUGAGGAUCUAGCUGCGGCGGCGAACGCGGCCGCAGCAGGGACAACAAGCACUGAUCCAUCAGCAGGUGCCCCGGUCGACCAUGAUCGAGACGAGGAACCGAACUGCGCGCAGCCGCAUCUGAUCGGGUCUACAAAGUACGGAGAUGAUGGCCAUGUUACCGUGCAGCUCAUUCGUGUUCUGUUUAAAGGUGACUGACUGCCCAGCCCAGCGAUGAAACAUUUUCGUCCUAACGAAACAAAGUACUCCCUCCGUCCUUAAAUUUAUAAGGUUUAGGAUAAGCUAGUUUGUUCAUUUUUUUAACUAAUUUUAUGAACAGAAAUAUACUCCAUACUUCUAUGUAAAAAAAAAGUAUAGCUUCCUUCAAAAGAAAUGCUGGUCCUUGAAUUUUAUGAGCAAAAAUGUCAUUGGUGAAAAUGUGUCACUUUCCAGUUUCCCUCGUGGUAUAUCUGGAGCCCGCCGGACCGAUUAUUACACCGUUACGCGCUGACGACAGCUGUUUGGCUAAUGUCCAUCGCUCCAUACAUUUAUCACUGCUUAAAAAUUAUCGCGUGCUUGAGCUCAAGACAAGCUCACCAGCUUCCCUACGUCCAAUUGUCUCCUGACUACUCCAUGCGCUACAGCACUAGAGACAGCGAGACUACCCGGCAAUUGCUAUAUGCGAUUGCCUUGCCGUUAGCAAAGCAUUUUGACACUUUCUCCUGUAAACCACAUGCACAAUCGCGUCCUCAGAAUAUAGUGCACUCGCCACAUUAUUGAGCCUGCAGGCCGUGUGCCAUCUCCAAUUCCACGAUGUUCGGCAAGCUCCGCUUCUACGCAUCCCUCCUUUUUGCAGUAUCGUCCGUCCUCGCCGCGGCGGCCUCCGACGACGUCAAAAUCGCCGUGUACUGGGGCCAGAACGCCAGCGAGGGCACGCUCAGGGACACCUGCAGCACGGGCCUCUACGCCUACGUCAACAUCGCCUUCCUCUCCACGUUCGGCGACGGCCGCGCCCCGGUCCUCAACCUGGCCGACCACUGCGACCCCCCGUCGGGGGGCUGCGCGUCCCUCGCCACCGACAUCGCGUCCUGCCAGUCCGCGGGCGUCAAGGUGCUCCUCAGCAUCGGCGGCGGCGCGCUCGGCGGCUACAACCUGUCCUCACCGUCGGACGCGCAGGGCGUGGCCGCGUACCUCUGGGACAACUUCCUCGGCGGCACCGGCGUCGCGGGCGCGCCCCGCCCGCUCGGCGGUGCGGUGCUCGACGGCAUCGACUUCGACAUCGAGGCCCCGUCCCAGUACUACGACGACCUCGCCCGGAACCUGACGUCGCUGUACAGGGGCGACGCGCGGGGCCGGGCGUACAUGCUCACCGCGGCGCCGCAGUGCCCGUUCCCGGACGCGUCGCUCGCGACGGCGCUCGGCACGGGGCUGUUCGACCACGUGUGGGUGCAGUUCUACAACAACCCGCCGUGCCAGUACGCGCCCGGCGACGACGCCGCGCUGCGGAGCGCGUGGCGGCAGUGGACGGCGGGCCUGCCCUCCGCGACCGUGUUCCUGGGCCUGCCAGCGUCGCUGGACGCCGCGGGCAGCGGGUUCGUGGACGCGGACACGCUCGCGUCGCAGGUGCUGCCGGCGGUGGAAGGCGCGCCCAACUACGGCGGCAUCAUGCUGUGGAGCCGCUCCUACGACAAGGAUACUGGAUUUAGCGUCAAGCUGCAGGGCAUCUUGCGAAACCGGAACGAUCAAACAGGUACUGAUCGUGUUAUUCUGUCAGACGCUUUUGUAUUCUUGUUGACGUCGACCCAGUCAUAAUUUUCAUCAAAUUAAGGUUGUUUGAUUGGCAAAUUUCAGGGGGCGGCACAUCUUCAGAUAAGGAAAGGAGGAUCUGUAAGUGUUGCUCUUUGUCAGAUUCUUUUUUUAACACUCUUUGUCAGAUUAUCCAACCACCAACUGCUAUUUUACUAGACUACCAUAGAGUGACCGUAAAUCUGUAGAUAUGCAGCAUAACUCAAGCUAUUGCAAGAUAUUGAUUCAUUUGACAGUUCAUUUUCAUGCCUUUUUAACUCCCUGCUAUCUGUGCAGAUAUAAUAGUAGGAGUUGCUGUUGCUGGCGUACUGCUGCUGUUCCUGCUUAUUUGCAGUUGCUUCCUCUGCCACAGGAAAUACCGUGGCACACCACCUCCUGUGGAGGGAUCAACGACGCCUCCAGCUCCAAAGACAGAACCAUCUCAGCCAAAACAAAGACCUCAGCGUCUGAAACGAUACACUUAUUCAGAGGUUGAGAGGAUGACAAAAGCUUAUGCUCACAAACUGGGCCAUGGCAGCAAUGGUGAUGUUUACCGAGGCUACCUCCGUGACGGCUGUCAGGUAGCGGUGAAGGUGCUGAAGAACAGCAAAGGUGAUGACAAGGAGUUCAUGAGCGAGGUCGCCAGCAUCGGCAGAAUUUCUCAUGUCAAUGUUGUUCCUCUGCUGGGGUUUUGCUUGCAAGGCCCGACAAGAGCUCUCAUCUACGAGUACAUGCCCAAUGGCUCCCUUGAAAGCUAUGCUUUCAGCAACAAUGACUCUGUAGAAGACAAUUAUUCGCUAUGGCUCUACUGGGAGAAGCUGUUUGACAUCGCCAUCGGUGUCGCGCGGGGGCUGGAGUAUCUCCAUGGACAGGGCAAUGCUAACAUUCUGCAUUUGAAUGUCAAGCCCUGCAAUGUUAUGCUGGAUCAGGAGUUAUGCCCAAAGAUAUCUGAUGUGGGCGUGGCAAACUUAUGCCAUGGCAAAGAGAAUAAGAGGUCCACUGGCGAUGCCAGGGGAAGAGAUGGCUAUGAUGCCCCUGAGGUAGUGUCCAGGAAAUUUGGAGCAAUCAGCAGUAAAUCCGAUGUCUACAGCUACGGCGUGAUGGUCCUUGAGAUGGUGAGGGCCAAAAGGAAUAUCAGUGUUGGUGCUGACACCACCAGCAAGUAUUUUGCUCAGUGGCUAUAUGAGCAUCUGGAUCAGUUCUGCAGUAGUAUUUCUGACAUCAGUACUGAGACAAGGGAUCUUGUGAAGAAGAUGAUCAUAGUUGGGUUGUGGUGCAUACAAACUGUGCAAACGAACCGGCCUUCGAUGAGCAGAGUUGUCGAGAUAUUGGAAAGUAGCAGCACAGACUUGGAAUUGCCAGUAAGGAUCUCUUGAGGAAUGGAGUCAUGGUUGUAACUUGUAAGCAUUGUUCAUAUCAUGAGCAGUGUCUGUGUGCUCUUAAGAUAAACAUGCUUGUGGAUUUGUAUCUUCUUCUUUUUCUAGAGAGCUCAGGUGGUGCUACCGACAGUGUAGAAAUGGUUUCAAUCGUCGUAACUCUGCUUGAGAAACCACUCAUGUGAUCCUGCUCGGAACAUUUCAACAUCAGCACAUUUACACCAUUUCAGGGGCCAGUCAGGUGAAUCCGGAAUUUUUUUUUUAAAAAAAGAUCUUCAUAAGACAACAGAAAGGUCCACAAUAAGCUGGAACAUGACAGAACAAGAUCAGACCAUCUCACUGCAACUGCAAAGACAACACCUGAAGAGACAGCCACACGCUGACAUGCCCACACACCAACAGGCUACAGCGAGUAUACAAAGUAAUCGACAGAGCCCCGACGGAGAUUCGGAGGCAACAGCAAGAGGCGUCACACGGAAAUCGGUUACAGACAGGUAGACAAGCCUAGCACCUGAGCCUCCGGACACGACAGACGGCCGCAAUCCUCCUGCCCUCCCGGGAGUUGAUGUACCUACCCAGGUCGAGGUUCUUGCUGUACCUGCACAGGCACGGCAUCUGCCCCCUGAGCUUAGCGCAGCACUCGCCGGACGGCCGCGCGCCGUAGAUGACCGCCGGGGCGCACGGGCGCAGCGCCAGCGGGUCGCACGUCGGCGGCCGCCCUGUCCUGGACGCCCGGCACACCGUCGUGAAGGGAGCGGCGAGCAAAGCCACAAGGAGCAGGAACUGGAUCGCGUAAAGCUUCAUCUUCAUGGCUGGUUUGCGAAUUUUGCGAUCGGCUGGCAACGAUUGGAAUGGCUUGGGGCCAAGAGAGAGGGCUGGUAUAGCGGUAUUUGAAGCGAGUCCCAGGUCUCGACUCGUGUCGGGAAGUGUGUUGCACCGUCGCGUAAACGUUACUGCACACGGUCGUUCACUUGACGGCCUGGGGUCCCUGAAUUCUGAACUACUCGCUGGCUUGGAGUAAUAAGAUUGCGGCGUACUCCACUAAGGUUAUUGAAUACUGUGCAAUACAAUGACAAAGUUGUUUGACUGCGUGCUCAAAUGCGAGUAGUAUUCUUUCGGUGGCAGCCUGGUAGGCAACGUGCUCAUCAAUAACGAAGUGCUAAUGGUGAUUUUAUCAGUCUUGAGGAUUAGCUGAUUUUAGUCUCUUGGAAAUGUAUAUGGGUAUGGUUGCUCAUCAAUAACGAAGUGCUAAUGGUGAUUUUAUCAGUCUUGAGGAUUAGCUGAUUUUAGUCUCUUGGAAAUGUAUAUGGGUAUGGUUGCAUGUGUGUAUUCAUAGAGUGUGCGUGCGUAUGUAUAAUCGUUUGCAUAUACACUGUGUUUCAUUGAGUUAGCAGAGCCUAAUGUAGCAGUGAGGAACAACUAGAGGGAAAAUUAGAUAUGUACCAUUGAAAGAUUGUGUCUUUAGAAAUAUACCGUCAAAAGAUUGUAUUGAAAGGUUACAUCAAAAUUGGAUAUGUAACAUUUGUUUGAAUCUUACCACAUCUAUGAAGUCUCUAUUAACUAGGACAUAUAUACCCCUACUAGAGCAGCAGGUGCUCCCAUCGAUCUCCUCACUGGUAAGGAUCCAAUUUUCCCUUCACUAGAAUAUAUAUAUGAUAGUAGAGGUUUAAUGUAUACUGUAAAUAUAAUUUGAAUAAUUUCUGAGUGUGAAAACAAAUUAUAGCAACUGAGAAUCCCCAACCAACAUUUUUUUUAAAAAAAAUCAUCCAUUUAAUAAAUUACUCUUGAAAAAUAUCUUAAUUACACUAAAAGCUUCAUGGGUAUUUAAGAAAAUUAUAAAGAAGACUCGAGUCGCGACCAUCGGCGAUUUUCAAAAGCACUCUAAAAAUGUUUAAAAAAUCUAGUAGUGAUCGCUGUUGCUGGCUAGUGUAGUGGUUUUGUGGCAAAUAGUGAAUCCGAGGAUACGUAAAUGUGCCUGUCAGCUUAACAACCAAAGUCGCUCUUCAGCCUCCUCCGGGCGCAUUCAGCUCGAGAAAAUGCAAGACCAAAUGUACCUUUCCCGAACCCGAAGGCACCAUCUCAUCUGUGUUUUUUUUUUUCUCCGAGAUUUGUGCAGCUAACCGUGAGCCGAUGAGCGUGCGCAACCGAGCCCAAGUCCAAGCAGAAAUUAACAUCUCGCUUUCCCAGGUGAAGCACGGGUCAUUAGACAUUACUGACAUGAGUUUUUCAACUUCUGCUACAUCCAGUAACUAAGAACAUUAAGCAAUCGGAACAAACAAGUAAACAGAUAUGGCAAGACCAACUUUAUUCGACAUAAACCUCAAACCAUCCUAACUUAACCGUUUCUUCGUGUGCCAAAGUUCGUCUUCAUUUUAUUUCAGAGCCUUUGUGCUAGCCGACUCUGACCACCCGGCACCUACGCUUCAGCAGCUACCGCGAUCAGGGGCUCGCGACCCGCGCGCGCCGCGGACGGAGAGCUAGAGAGCUACUAGCAGCUGGGCACGGGCACCUUGCAGGCGGUGAACACCCUCCGCUUGUGCCUGGUGUCGACGAGGCGCUUCAGGUUGGCGUCGUCCUUGAACCGGCACAGGCAGUUGGGCCCGUGGGACUUGAGCGUGGCGCAGCAGGCGGGCGUCGGGGAACCCUUCCCCGCGAACGCGCUCGCGCACGGGCUCAGCUGCAUCACGUCGCACGGCGCCAGCGCCGAGAAGUCGGCCGCGGCGUGGCUGGCGAGGAGGCUCACCACCACCGCGACGAGGAGGAAGACGGCCGGCCUCAUCCCGACGAUCGCAGGUGGGGUUUUCGCUGGACUGGGACUGGGAGGCCACGAGAAGUCGUCAGGAGCUACAGCGUCCAGUGGGCAGAGUUGCUCGCAGCUUUUGUAGGCCGUCGCCCGGUAGCAGUGUAGUGUAGCACGCAGCAGGUGAGUCACGGUGUGAGCGUGCGAAACCGAGCGCAGUGCAGGUUAGGUGAAGCACGCCUGAUGAAGGGCUGCCUGCCAUCACGAUUCUGAGUUUCUGACGAGGCUAAGUACUGUACACAUACUGCAAGUGUAUUGAGUAUUGACGAGUAGAUUUCCAGUUAACAUACUGUAUGGUCAUGGUCUCGUACUCUCAUCGGUAUGUUCACAGUCCUAUUCAUUCUCAUAUAGGGAGCCAGAUCCUCUGAUUUUGAGGAUAUCGACAAGGGAAUUCUGGCAGAAGCCUUUUAACACAAACCAAUGGUCAAGCAGCGGCAGCCAGGCUUGCUUCUUGUCCCUAACAACGAGUAUCCCCCGCCCUGAGGCAAAGCAUCAGGUUGACGCAAACUUGCCGCGCAUUCGUUUAUUCCUCUCGAUGGUUCAAUCCCUGCAGAUCAAGCUAUCCUUUUCUUCUCAAUCUACGCCCCCUUGAGAUGAAAAUUAUACUAGCAUUUCGGGGGCUUAUAAAGACGCCCUUUCUGCAAUAGACCGAUCAGACAAAACAAGACAAGAGAUUAAUCGUCAAAAACUCUUAGAGCCAUGCAUCCUCAUUUUCCUAACGAUCACGGCAAUGAACGAGUGGGUGGUCCGUUCCAUAGGCACAGGUCGAUUCAUAGGCUUCUUGGCGGAGGAAAAGGUAAUGCUGCUCUUCUUUUCUUUCUGGACAAUUAACUUGCAUCAUUUGAAUUACCAAAGUUUCUGUCUGAAUCCAUGUGUUCAUGGAUUGCGUUGUUUGCCCCUCGCAGUGGCGGACAUUCUGCUGUGGAAGGACAGGAACUUAUCUGCAGGUGUGCUCCUCGGGGCCACGUUGAUCUGGUACCUGUUCGAAGUGGUUGAAUACAACGUAAUCCCGCUCCUUUCCCAGAUUGCCAUCUUGGCCAUGCUCGUGGUCUUCAUUUGGUCGAAUGCCGCGCCGCUCUUGAACAUGUAUGUCUUUGUUUCUUCUGGAUGUUUAUCGAAAUUCAAAUGUGACACAAAGGCACAAGAAGCAAUUCUCAACUAACCAAAUUUUCAUAGCAGACCCCCUCCAAGAAUCCCAGAAGUCAUCGUCUCUGAACAUGCCUUCCGACAUAUAGCACAGACCAUCCAUUACAAACUGGCAUACACUGCCGCUGCUCUUUAUGACAUUGCAUGCGGAAAGGAUCUGAAGAAAUUCCUCUUGGUACAUAACAAUCAAUUACUCUCCUACCUUUAUAACAAAAACCAUGUCACAGUUUUUCCAGUGUCAAGAUAUAUGCCAAGAUCCACGUGUGAUAUUUUUGAAUUUAAGAAAAAACUUACAAAUCACAUGUAACUGAACUGCAACCCAUUAUUUUGCCAAUAUUUUUCAUCACUUUUAUAGUGUUUUUGGGCAAUUUACAACACUUUAACCUUAGACUAACAAUAUGCUGUUUCUAAUAUUAAGGUGAUCUUUUCACUGCUAAUAUUGUCUGAGAUUGGAAGUUCUUACAGCUUCACAAGUCUACUAUAUCUCGGUGAGUACUGCGGUAAUUUUUAACAAGAUGAACACACAAAGAUCAUACAAACCAAUUGCUAUAAUACAUUUAACAAGUCUGAACAACUUACUUCCACAGGAUUUUUGUGUGCUCACACUUUGCCAGCAUUGUACCAAAGAUAUGAGACAGAGGUGGACCAUCUAGCUGCAAGAGGUAGUGAAGACAUCAAGAGGUUCUAUAAGAGGAUUGAUUCCAAUUUGCUCAACAAAAUACCAAGAGGCCCUGUCAAGUCAAAACCUAUAUAAGAUAUACUCCCUGAAGAUACAUCAAUGAUUCCCUCGAAAGGGAAUGAGCUAUCAUUUGAUUGCUUCCAGCGAAAAUGGUCCUAUUGUAAUUUGUACAAAGGUGUUUGAACCAGAAAAGCAAGAAGUAGCUUCAACUGAGCCUGGAGAAUUCAGACUGUCAGCAUUCAAAUGUACCUAUCAAUGCAUGGAUACAAGCAUAUUUUCAAGACUUCACAAUCAAUAUGAAAUGAACUAUAAUGUUGUAAUCUCAACAAAGCAGAUCAUUAAUAAGAAUUGAGUGGUGUUUUCUCUUUCAACUCUGACACCAUGGGUUUGUAUAAGUACAGCACAUGAAAAAAGAGCAUCCAAUAUGGACUCAGCAAGACAAAUAGCUAAGAUUGCCUAAUCGUCUAGGGAAAAAAGGAAUAUAAACAUGAUUACAUGACAUUCAUCAUUCAUUGUCUUCUAACAUGUGAAACGCUAGUGUUAUGUGUUUUACUCUUCAUUCUUGGUAUAUGCUGUGGGAUAUACUGGAAAAAAAUUAUUGGCUACAAGACACUAGGCAGGGCUCUGCAGCAAAGAAACUAGUGUCCUUUUUUUUCUUGAACCACGCAGGAGAACUGCGUGUCAUUUCAUUAAGGUAGAAACAAAAGUACACAAGUCUAGAAAGACCCAACCCGAGUACCAGGCAAACCCCACAAACACACAUAAACACACCCACACACUUACAGAAAACCAAAACUCACGGUCGCACCACGGAAUAGCAAAACAGACAACCAGCAGCCCUUCAGAGCUUAAGCUCCAAGAGGCAGCGACCUGGACAACCUGGACAUGAGUUCCUGGAGCUUGGAGGCCCCCGCCAUGCACCAGAGGCCACCCUCCGUGCUCACAGAACUGACAACCUUCCUACAGCAUAGAAAAUGCAUUUCAAUGUCCUACAUCUAAGGAUCAGUGUCCUGUUGCUAAUUUUUCCGUUUAAAUAACAUACAUGAGGAAUUCUCGAGGCAUCAAACAUUGCAUGAUUUAUUUGCAAAGAUCCAUUUGUACCUUAAAUGUUUGUGUACUGUGGAGAGUCAACUUGAAUCUGGAAUAUGACCAUGUCUAAAACAUCAGAGACCUUGGCUUUUCCUUAAUUCAGUAGAUGAAAUAUCCAUGCGAAAUUUUUCCUCUGGUAUGGAGAUGAACAUGUCGCUCAGCUCCUCUGGAAUGACUAAAUCCUCAAGGGCCUUCAAAACAAAACAAGUAGUGUAUAGUGUUUCAGAUGAUCUCUCUCCCACUUCCUUCUCCCCACACCCAAAAAAAAGUGUGUAAAGAAAACAUCAAGUUAAAUUUAUACCUUGAAAACUCCUUCAAUCAUUCGACCACCAACAAGAAAAGUGGUACCUGUGCUUUUACAUUUGAGAAGUAUCUCCAGCAUUCUAUUGUAAUCUCCUCCAUAAUACUUGGGCUGCAAUGAAUAAACUUCAUUCAGUAUCAACAACAAAAUAUCCAAUUGUCAAUUUUACUUACACAGUAACGAGUAAACUCUGUCAGUGAAGGUAAUACCACAAUUUAUGCUCAAAAGUAAGUACAAAGUGUGCUGAUAAGAAACUAAAAAGAUGAAAGAAACUGCAAAUUGCUACUCGAACAUUGGGUAUUUGGGUUGCAUAUUAUUAUCUAAUAAACAUAAAAUCAUUGACUCCAAAACCUAAAACAUCCUUUCAGAAAGGAAACAAACUAAACCGGUAGGUAGUUUUAUCAUGACUGUCGAACUUCUUACAUUAACAAGCCUAGCUGCAGUGUCUGCACCAAUUAUAAAAGCACUUCCUGGGAAAAGCUCCGCUUUCUUAUAGAAGUAUGGUUGGUUAGAUAUUAUCACAUUCUUCCCUGUAACAGAAAGAGAACAACAGGGUGAGUUUCCCCCAGCAAAUCCCAUCCAUGUGAAGUUCUAAAAAAGAGCAGCUUGACCCUCAAAAGCAGUAAAUAAUUGGUGAGCAAUUAAACAGACUUUCAGCAACCAACAAUUGGUUGCCCAGGUUGUCAAUCACUAUUUUAUCCUCCCUUUGGUUUUAAAUAUAUGACGUUUAGGACAAGCUAACUAGAUAAAAAAUGAACUAACUAACUUGUCUUAAAUGUCAUAUAUUUAAAAACGAAGGGAGUACAAUGGUAAUAUAAACAAAAACUUAGGAAAAACACUACUGGACACUUAUGUAAAGAGCUCCCGCGAAAUCAUUUUUAUUCAAGUGUCACCACGAUGCAUGGCCGCAGCCCACAUGAAUGAAUGGUAAACAAGACUCCAGUUCUCUGUAACCGCAAACUGAACCACAUUUGGCAUGGCAAUCUGAUCAGAGUCCUAGGGUUAUUGCAAAAUCGAAGUCAUGGCACAUAAUUGUACAUGAUGCUGGGCCAUACCUGCUUUUCUAAAUUGCUCAACACGCCUCUUAAUUUCUGGAAUAGAUAGUGGAGGUUUAUCGGCAUUGAUUGCUGAUAUCUCAAAGAAUGGAAGCCCAUCAUCAUACAUGCUACAACAAGUGGAUCCAUUAAAAAUAUCAGGCAAUUUACUCUUUCUUUUAAGAUAAAACAAGGAAAAAAAACAGAAGUGGAAGAUCCAAUAUCUUGGGUACAAAGACAGCUAUAUAGAAAUAGUGUUGUGGAGCCACAUGCCAAUUGUCAAAACAUAGCAAACCUUCUCUUGACAAGUAAUUUUCUGUGACAAAUCAUUUUCACAUUUCCACUUUGCCAUUAUUGAUUUUUUUUCCCCUUGCUAGCCUUUAACAUGCCCAAAUCCAAAAGUAGAAAUGUUUCUAUUUAUUCACAGCUUCUCCAAAAGAAAAUCAAACCUUGAUGCAACUUCCAACAGCUUAAGGUGGCCAUCAUGCAAGGGGUUGAAUGAACCAGGUAGAAUUACUUUCCUAUUGAAGUUUGUUUCCACUGGAGCUACAUUAAAGAAGAAGAGUAUUCAGAGAUGGAAGAGUUGUAGAAACAAUAGAACUAACAACGACCAAGGACACUAUGAUUCAAGAAUGAAAAUGGAAGAAAUUCUAGAAUGAAAAACAUAACAACUCCAAGUGCUAAAAUAUACCGGCAAAAUGAUAGACUUUCAUGCAAACUUGCCCAUCAAUGACUUGUUGGAGCUCUUGAUCUUCAUCAAAUUGUUCCGUGCUUUCUUCUGGAAGUUCAGGUUCUUGAAUGCCUGACUGAAUAGUUGCAGAUACUCUGCAGGUAUCUGCUAUUGCCUACAAUACGUACUCUUAAAAAUGAGUGCUACCUCCGAGAAUGCCAAUUAUCAUAAAAUUGGCCAAUCCUGACAUGAUCAGGAUUGGUUGCUUAUAUUUGUUGGUUACAAACUUAUGAUGUUCAACUUGAUCAAUAUUACCAAUGAGAACAUAUCAUCUAGUGAGGUGCAACAAACCUUAAGCAAAAAACAGCUUGAAACCUCGUCUUCUUCCUCUCUGCUCCGUAAACCCUGGGAAGAAAGAUUAUGGUAGCAUGAGGCAACACAAUUUAAUAAAUAAUAGUGGAUUGCUGCUAUUUUCUAUUCUGCUAACAAGUUCUAAAAAGACUAACAAGUAGCGUCAAUUUAUUAAAGUGUAAGAAGGAACAACAGUGCUUGUACAGUUGUACCUUUGACAAGGUAACAUGUGAUGUCCUGAGGCAAUUGUGAGUCCACGUUGACACAUAAAACCUAUUUCAAAACGCGAACCAGAUGUCAUAUAGUGGACACUCAAGAAAGAGGAUUAACAAACUUAUAGAUGUUAUCAUAACAGCGAAAAGAUAAAUACCCCCCUGAUUCCUCGAAAGAUGAGAAUUUUGUGUGCUCAGGCUCCUAUGGUCGUAUCGUAUCACAAUUCACAUGCUAAGCCAAGAUUCUAGCACGACCACUGCUCUAACUUGGUGAAGUGGGCUAGUUGCAAGGCAUACCUGUGGUCACCAUGUUUUGGACGUGAGCUUGCAAGUGACCCUGUAAAUCCAACACCCAUAACUUGCAGACCUAUGCAUACCCCAAUCAAUUACUUCAAAAUUUACAGCAAGGAUAGAUGAUGUUAGGUGCAAAUGUGCAAUUCUGCAAGCUACAGAGUCAUGUGCAGAAUGAUCAAGUAUUGCGAAGUAAAGUAAGCCACACAGACCUGGCCCAGAAAGCUUGAGUGCUCGGUUGUACGCGGCCAGUGCCAUGUCCUCUGCAGCCUGCUUGCUGGUGAAUUGCAAGGGCAUCUGAACAUCAAAGCACGGUCAGUGCAAACAGUACCUUCAGGCGUCAGCAAUAAGCCAAUAACAUCUGAGUAGUUGUUUGACUGUGGGUUCGAAAGUGGACGCGCAGAGUGUUUCGGGAGUGCCGAUUCCGUUACCUUGCCAAGGAGCUGCGCCAUGGAGGCCCUGGAGUAGGGCACGACGACCUCGAGGACGGUGCCCGACGCGCCGGGCACGGACAGGAGCCAGCCGAGCGCCUGCGCCGAAUGGGGGUGCCGAGCAGUUGGGAAUAUGGCCGAUUUGACGGGAAAAUUACAGCGCGCGGGGCCCGGGAGGUGCUGGUACGGAUACCUGAGAUGCGCCGCCGGCGAGGUAGAUGACCGCCUGGGAGCGAGAGGAGUAGAUGGCCUCCACCACCGCGCGGACCCAGCUCUCCAUCGCGAUCCCGGUGGACGCAGUUGGCUUGGGCGAGCUGCUACGGGACGAGACGACGGGAGGAUUUUGUCCUGUUCCCCUCCUUUUUUUUUUUUGAAGGAAGAGUUCCCCUCCUGUAGAUGUAGAAAAAAAACUCUUAUGUGGGCCGGAUCCCUCAGAACCCGUUUACGCAACGGCAUUCGCAACCGACCCCAGGUGGCCAGGCCCACAGCCCAAUGUCGGUUCCCGCACGUUCCGCCCUGGCCCGCAACCCUUCAAAGCCCACGUAGGGGUCUCGAAACCGCAACAAUCGCAGUUCGCGACGCAUUGCUGGCUGAAUCGCCUUCGCACCGCCACAGCAUUCCGCCGUCCUCUCCGACAUCGACUCGCACCGACCACUAGUGGCGCCACUUCCUCCUCAGCCCCAGCCAUGGCCGGCGGCGACGGUGAGGCGGCGGCCUUAAACCCCCAUCUCCUCCACGAGCGCCCUCGUACACAUCUCGCGUUGACAUCGUUCCCCUCUCUUCUACCCCGCAGGCGAUCGCCACCGCGCGCCGAAGCGGCACAAGUCCUCGGCCCCGUAAGGCGGCCCUGGUGGACGAGAGCACCGAGUUCGACUACGCCGAUGACUUCGACGACGAUGCCCUUGACGGUACCCACCGCGCGCUUGAUCCCCUCCUAAAUCCGCGAACCAUCCCCAAAUCUGUGGGGUUUCUUCUGAACUUCUGAUCGAUUUGAGGGAUUUGGGGGUGGAUGUCUUUGUUCUAUCGCAGCGGAUACGGAGGUGAAGAAGAGGGAUUUCACGAAGCUCGAGUUGAAGCCGGAUCACGCGAACCGGCCCCUCUGGGCGUGCGCGGACGGACGCAUCUUCCUCGAGACCUUCUCGCCGCUCUACAAGCAGGCAUACGAUUUCCUUAUCGCUAUUGCCGAACCUGUGUGCAGGUCCGCUUUAAUCAGUUCCAUACUUGAAUACCACCAGCUGCACCUUUAAUUCAGAGUUGUCAUGGCUGUACCCAGAUGGCUCACAACCUGAAUUGGAGCCGUUGAUUUCUCCAUGGAGUUCUGAUAGCAUGAAUUAGGGCUGUAGUAAGAUGUCCAUGCUUUGGAUAGGAUUGGUCUGGUAAAUCCAGAACACAUUGUUAACACACUAGCCGCAAGUCUGUCUUUGGAUGUCUUGUAUCAGGAGAUGAAUUUUGAAUAUAUACAAGACAGGAUUUCUUGACUUGCAAUUUUGCAUUCCAUUUAAAACCCGACAUAAGAGUCAACAUGAUGUCAUUUGAAGGAAUUUGUGUGAAAUUGGUUGGAGGGAUACAUAUGCUGAGAAUUGGGAGGGAGAAAGACAGUGGUGCUUGCUCAAUUUAAUUAAGCAUGUUUACAUGGAUCUUUAGGUUUUAAGGCUACGCUGAAUGUAGCUAUGGCAUAUUCCAGAGUUUUGUUGCUUCUGGUGUAAUUUGUUUGUGAGUGGAUUUGGAAUAAACAAAUAUUAUGUGAACACUAUCUAAACUUGACCAAAGUUAUGCGAGAUGUUUACCCUUGUUUCCUAGGUAAUAAUUACUAGGACUUGCUUAGUUUUGAGGAUUGAAUGGUGUAUUAGAGAUAUCCUGAGCUUGUUACUUCAAAGAAACAGCAAGUCAGCAACAAUAGUAAGCUAAAUUGUGACUGUAUCUGAGCUACCAUGGUGCUCUGGAUAUUGAAAUGAAUAUAUGUGUUAAAUGCUUGAAUAUAUUCAAUGAAGGUUUCCAACUUUUCUUUCUGAAAAUUCAACCUUGUUUUUGUUGUGCAAGCCAGAAUCUAUGCAUGAGUACAAUCUAACUCCCCACUCAUUGUAUGCUGCGGUCUCAGUAGGACUUGAGACAAGCACUAUUAUUAGUGUCUUGAGUAAACUCUCUUAAUACUAAGUUGCCUCGUGAAAUAAUUGACUUCAUCCACGGAUCAACUGCUAACUACAGCAAAGUGAAGCUUGUCUUGAAGAAGAAUCGAUAUUUUGUCAAGUCUCCAUUUCCUGAGGUCCUAUCACUUGACCUGUGUAUAAAGAAUUCUGAUAGCUCUAUCGCUUUUCUUUGUUGACAGAACUGUGGCAUCUCUUGUGCAGGUAUUGAGUAACCUCCUGAACGAUGAUGUUAUAUCAAAAGCUAGGAUAUCUCCUGAGGUAUUAUUUACUUUGGAUGUAUAAUAUCAAGCUGAAGUUAGUGUCAGGUAGAGGAGAAUUUGCACACUGUGGAAAUGUCAAUUGUGUUCAUGCCAUCAGUUUCUUUGUUUUCUUUCUGGUUUUGAGUAUAUUGGUUCUCAACUUAUUGGGUGUGUAAUCAUAAUUGACAUUUGAAACCAUUGCAGCUUAGGAAAUGUUUGUUACCUACCUCACUAGCCUCUGUGUGAUAAAAGUUGUUUCCCUGCUAAUUUGUCUACAUUAAACCAGCUAUCCAUUUAACUUAGUUGUUUGCUUCUCAACGUCGUAGGAAUCUAUUCUAAUUUUCCUUCAGGAUUCCCUUGGUGCAUCUUCAUUUACUAUUAGCAAAACAUCUGGACAAGCUAGUGGCCAUGAAGAGUUGUUAAAUGGAAUGGAAUUGGCUGCUGCAACUGAAGACAAGGAAACACAUUCUUUUGAGAUUGAUCCCUCUCAGGUAUUUCUUCAUUUCUACUGAAGGUUGGGAACCACUAAAGUUAUUGAGGGACUGAUCUUCCAUUUAUCUCACACAGGUUGAGAACGUCAAGCAACGGUGCUUACCAAAUGCAUUGAACUACCCCAUGCUGGAGGAGUAUGAUUUCAGAAAUGACACUGUAAGCUUGUCUUUUCUCAGGGAACAGCUAAUGCAUAUUGUUUUUCUGUUCUUUUUUCAUCGAUAAAUGAUGAUCAUGAUACUGAAAAGUUUAGACCAAAAGGAUGGGAUAAAUUGCAAACCACAGUACCUCUUGUUGGAGAAUGCAAAAAUUGGGGUUGGCCCAGGUCAAAGGAAUGUGAUAGAUGCACAUAUGCAUCAAAGAAAAUAAGUCAAAUGAAAGGGUAGGAGAAAUUUCAAACCACCUUAGCUCUACGUCAAAUAAUACAAGGGUCAAGGGGUGGGAUUGAUCCCUGCUAAUGGAAUGUAGAUGAACUUGCACCAAUAGAAAACGUUACUCCCUCUGGUCAUAGAAAAGUGGCAAUUUUGGACAUGAACAUGAUCUUGGAAACACUACUUUUACUACUGAAUUUUAUUGUGAUAUGAUUUAGAAUCUAAUGAAGUUAUAAUAUGUGAAAGUAUUUUUAACACAAAGCUGCUCAUGGAUCUAAAGCUUAACUUAGUUCCACUUCAAUUUUAAUUGUAGGUAAACCCAGAUUUGGACAUGGAGCUAAAGCCGCAAGCACGACCCAGGCCAUAUCAAGAAAAGAGUCUCAGCAAGAUGUUUGGAAACGGUAAGUUCAUCAUGUAAAGCUUAUGCAAAAUUGAGUUUCAAACAGUUGGUACUCUGUUAGAGAGCUAUAGAUGGCCACGAAGUUUGGGCUGAAGAAUUUCCCAGUGAUUAGCAUUGAAAGCCCAGUAUUGGUCUCUUAUCCGAUUGCACAUCCUGAUUUGCAGCCAGGUCCGAAAUGAAAGUAAAUGUGCCUUCUCUGUGCAAUGGUCUUGCAAUGCCUUGUUUAUAAGGUGUCCAGUAUUGUUUAAUGUUGUGAAUACUAAGUGAAAAUGUUGCAAAUUUUUAACUGAUAGCAGAAUAUGUGUUUACUAAGGAUGUAAACCAAAUUCUCCUUGCUCUUUUUAGCUAGUGAUUUUGUUCCCUUGGGUCAUUUAUUAAUCCUUCCAUUUAGAAGUUUUUGGUUUUUGCAUGGAGUAAACAAUUUGUGAUACUUGUAUGCAGUGAAUGCUAGCUUUUCUAAUUUGAUUUAAUUUGUAAUUAUGCAGGACGAGCAAGGUCAGGCAUUAUUGUGCUACCUUGUGGUGCUGGCAAAUCCUUGGUUGGUGUAUCUGCAGCCUGCCGUAUUAAUAUGUUUGGCCACAAAUGCUGUCUCCGUAGAUCAAUGGGCAUUUCAGUUCAAGCUUUGGUCAACUAUAAAAGAUGACCACAUUAGUCGUUUUAAAUCUGAUAACAAGGAGAAAUUUAGAUGGCAGGUGUGGUUGUGACUACAUAUAACAUGGUUGCAUUUGGUGGUAAACGGUCUGAAGACUCAGAGAAGAUUAUUGAAGAAAUCCAAAACAGAGAGUGGAGCUUCCUUCUAAUGGAUGAGGUGGGCUGGUCUAUUAUAAUCUGAUCAUUGGGGUUUUAUUCUUCCAUGUCUUAAUAAAGUAUAAUGCAGUGUCACUUUCGUCUCCUUUUCUUGUGUAUCUAUUCAGGUUCACGUUGUCCCUGCACAUAUGUUUAGAAAAGUCAUCAGCAUCACUAAAUCUCACUGCAAGCUUGGUCUUACUGGUAUGUCUCCAUCAUAUAAUCCUGCAUGGUUUCACUGUUUGCUUUUAUGACGUAUCAUAAACUCAUUAUAUACUCAUUAUAUUAAAAUUAUCACAGCUACCCUUGUGAGAGAGGACGAACGCAUUACCGAUUUGAAUUUUCUAAUUGGACCAAAACUGUAUGAAGCGAAAUGGUUGGAUUUAGUGAAAGGUGGAUUUAUUGCAAAUGUGCAGUGUGCAGAAGUAUGGUGUCCCAUGACCAAAGAGUUCUUUGCUGAAUAUUUGACGAAGGAUAAUUUGAAGAAGAAGCAGGUGAACCUGUAUUGAAGUUUGUCAUAGGUUCCUGCAGAGAAUUUAUAUAAGUUUUUGUCCUUCCAGAUUGCAAAUUCAUGUAUUCCAGUUUCCACUAUUGCUUUAUUUUAUUCCCAUUGUACCUUUCCCUCUAUGCAAUAGUCGACUUGAUUUGUUUCCUUUAGCUAUUCACCUCCAAGACAUACCACUCUUAUACUUUGGACAUCAGUACAUAUAUGAAUUUUCAUUGAUUGGAAUUCCAUUUUCUUUAAUUUCAUUCUCGUCUUCCUGGAAGCUAACUUAUGUUUUGAGGAUCACAUCUUACUGCCCUUAUGCCAGGUACUUUAUGUCAUGAAUCCAAACAAGUUCAGGGCUUGUGAGUUCCUGAUUCGAUUCCAUGAGCAACAAUGUGGAGACAAGAUAAUUGUGUUUGCUGACAAUCUAUUUGCACUAACAGCUUAUGCAAUGAAAAUCCGCAAGCCAAUGAUUUAUGGUGCCACAAGGUGACUUUACAUUUAUGCAGAUGUUACCUAGUUUCCUCUAGUUUGCACUUAUUUAUCUUUGAAUCACAUUCAGCCAUGCGGAGAGGACAAGAAUUCUCUACCAAUUCAAGAACAGUCCAGAAAUCAAUACAAUUUUCCUUUCAAAGGUGUGCUUACUGACUAUCUAAUAUUAAAUAUGUAUUUCAAAUCAACUUACUGUCAGCAAUGUUGGUGACUAUAUGCUAUUUCCUGUUAGGUUGGUGAUAACUCGAUUGAUAUCCCAGAAGCUAAUGUUAUCAUACAAAUAUCAUCUCAUGCUGGUUCAAGGCGUCAAGAAGCUCAGCGCUGGGACGUAUUCUCAGGGCAAAGGUACUAUUGGACCAUUUGUUUCAUUUUACAUACAAGCUGGUUGUAAUUGCUGCACUUGAUCCUUUGGCAUUCAAAAUUUUUCUGUGUGGAUGUUUCUGUUCCUUUUGACACUCAAAAUUAUUCUGGACAUUAAGAAGUCAUCAUAAAUUACACAUUAUGGUGAAAUUCUUUUAACACAGUAAACUUCAACGUUAUAAAUUUGGAUUGACAUCCAACAUAAUAUAUUGGUUCAAAUUUACUGUUGUGCUGUGGCAAAGCUUGCAACUAAAUUGUCACUCUUGCUGACCUUGUAUUUGUAGUAGUUGCACAUAGGUUGUUUAUUUGCACACUAUCCUAUUUACCAGUGUGGGGCUACCAACCUGGAUUUCAGUUUCAGCUUAUAGUUAUGAGAGUCACUUUGAUGUGGCCAAUAGAUUGGGGAUAAAGUGAUACAUAAUUAUUUGGAAGACUUAGAUCUAAACUGCAACAGUCCUAUAAUGAGUAUCAUGAAUUGUAUUCUCAUUAAAUCUCUUGUAAAUUAUUGUGACCUCAGGGUAAGCAUCAAGAUAGGAUGGCCGGAGGAAAAGAAGAAUACAAUGCUUUUUUCUAUUCUCUAGUGUCAACCGACACACAUGUCUCACUGGAUUACUUAUUUCCUCAUUAUUUCCCCCUUUUUUUACUGGAAACACCAGCAUGCAUGUAUGUUAUGACAGCCCUGUAAAUUAUCUUCAGUAUAUCAGGAUGACAUUCUUUUUGCUGAUGCAGGAGAUGUACUACUCAACAAAAAGGCAGCAGUUUCUUAUUGACCAGGGAUAUAGCUUCAAGGUAUGGCCUCUGGAGCAUUCUUAAGUUGUAAAGAAUUAUACUGUAAUUUGACUCUUACCCAUAGUACGUGCAGCUGCACGCACCUGCUGAGAUUGUUCUUUUGGCACUUUUUAGUGAUGAAAUAUUGUACUUGCCAGGUUAUCACUAGUUUGCCGCCACCUGAAGAAGGACCUAAUCUGAGCUAUUACACGCUUGAUGAACAGCUCGAGCUUUUAGGCAAGGUGGGAAUUUCUAUACCCCUUUGGUUGUAGGUCAUAGUUCCCUUGUUGGUUGUUACUGACUGUGUGCAGAUGCCCCAUUCACCACUUCCAACAGGUGCUGAACGCAGGGGAUGACAUGAUGGGCGUUGAGCACUUGGAAGAAGAUUCUGGUGGCAAGGCUCUUCUGAAAGCUCAUCGCUCUGCCGGAUCGAUGAGUGCCUUUUCUGGAGCCGGUGGAAGGGUUUACUUGGAAUGCAGGUGCUGCAUCUAUCCACUCUUCCUCUGUUUUUUUAUUUGGUGCCAUAUCCAACCUCAUCUUUAACUGGAUGCACAUCGCCUGUGUCCUGUUCUUCCAGCACCAAGGGGAAGGGUGCUCCGAAGAAACCCAAGGACCCAUCAAACAGGCAUCAUCUGUUUAAGAAGCGCUGCCAGUAGGAUGCCAGAGAAGUUGUGUAGCCUGUUAUGCUUUGCUGACAAUGACCUGGUUCAUGAGAACCUUCUUGCUUGGCAUGAAAAUGUCGUUGGUUUUAACAGAGAAGCCAGGUUACGCAAAGCUGUCACUUUCUGUUAGGGCAACCGUACUAGCAAUUGCCCUCGUUUUGAGCAAGGUUACUGAGCUAUUAUAUCGAGGACAAUUUUGGUCUUUGGCUUACGCCUGCUGCUUUCUGUUCGCAAACGAGGAUAUAUGUCUUCUUGAAAAAUGUAAAUAUUGUGUAAGGCUUGUAUGCAUAUUGAGCUAUAGGCACGCUAAAGCUGCAACACGUCAUUAGCGAUGCUGAACGACCUGGCACUGGCCUUAAUAUUUUAACUCCAAAGAAAUUUAAAUUUUACAAUCCUGUGUAUGAUGCAGUAUGGUCAAUGGUUACCAGUUCGAUGUCUUGUGAUUAUUGUUCAUGAGCAUUGCAACGUUUGUUCAAUUUUGAUGGUGCAACUUUCCUAAUAUGCUUAAUUUCCUUCUUUAUGCCCUUAAAUAGAAAUGAGGCCUGCACACGACAUUAUUUAAAUUUUCAAGAUAAACAUGUAUCAAACGGUUAACUACCGUCCACCCUUGCCCCGUCAAAUCCAUCAAAUAACUGGAAUGGCUUCAUGUCAGAUACACCACCGAACUUUAGGAACAACAUUUUGGACGAUAUCGUCACUUCGGCCGCUAUUUUCUAUUAGAUAUAACUAAGAGGUGUAUAAUAAAGUAAUAGUCUAAUAAAAUUGUUUUCAAUACAAAACAUAUAGUGAAGUAAUGUUUAUUAUACAUUUACAGUUUCUGAAGCAGAUAUAUAUGCGUUCCGCUUAUGUAUACUCCAAAACAAAAUUGCAAAGGAGAAAAAGGAAAUUGCUGACGAGUCUCCCAUCCAAUUUGCGACCCCGUCGUCUCGUGCAGUCGCAAGCACGAGGUUGUGAGCGAGCCAGCAAAGACGCUCUUCGAUUUGCCCUCACUCCAGCCCAGCCAGCCAGCCAGCCGCCCAAAAAGCCAGGCGCAAAUCACAACCUCGCCUCCUGUCCCCUCCCCCCGCUCCUCGUUCCCCUCUCGCCGCCCGCCCCCGGCCGCGAUCGAGGCGGCGCCAAUAACCAAGGGCGGGCCUCACCCUCUCUCCAGCGAGCUCCCCCGCGCCUCCGCCCCAAAUCCCCCCCGCGCCCCGUUUGGCCGCCGCCCCUGCGAUGGAUUUGGAUCUGUGGAUCUCCAAGGUCAAGGAGGGCCAGCACCUCGCCGAGCACGAGCUCCAGACCCUCUGCGAAUACGUUGAGUUUUCUACUCUCUGACUCGCUCGUUCCGCGCCUAGGGUUUUUCUCGCCCCAUUGCUCUCUCGGGCGGCCGCGCACGCGCGCUGGGUUGUUAGGGUUCUUAGUGGGUAGAGGUAGAUGUGGGGAAAGGGCUGCCUUUGCUGUGUCUAUUGGUUGUAUCUGUGUGUAACUGCUGUUUGUUUCGCCGGAUGUCCAGGUGAAGGAGAUCCUCAUCGAGGAGUCGAAUGUUCAGCCGGUGAACAGCCCCGUGACGGUGUGCGGUGACAUCCACGGGCAGUUCCAUGAUCUGAUGAAGCUAUUCGCGACCGGUGGGCACGUCCCCGAAACGAACUAUAUCUUCAUGGUGCGGACUGUGGAGCUUCCCCCCCCCCCCCCCCCCCCCCUUUUAUCUUUUCCUGUGAGCAGUGAUAAUGUAUUCGCCAUUAUCAUGAUACUGUUCUCCUCAAUCGAGCUGUGGUUCACUCGCAGGGUGAUUUUGUGGACCGUGGCUUCAACAGCCUGGAGGUUUUCACCAUUCUCUUGCUACUAAAAGCAAGGUAUUUAGUUAACUUCUUGUUUCUUCUUGUUUGGAGAUAGUCGAGUGUUUGCUUGAUUGUCGAAAAGUUCAAUGUUUCAGCUGCCUAGCUUCUGAUGUAGCAGCUGCUUCACUCUUUUGCCUUGUUAGCAACCUUACUACUUCAGACUGAGGGUCCAAUUCAUAAUCAUUUGUAGUAUAAAAACCUUGUUUUCUUAUGGAAUAUACAUGGUUGGAGAAACAUAAAUAGCCAGAGUAGCUUACUAGACAGAAUUAGGUUAUUGGCUUAUAUUGAUUGUUAAUUGCUGACUGACUAUGCCGUGAGUCUCGUGACUCGCCUUUUCACACUAUUUUUCCUGAAUUCUUGGAUAGUCUAUAGAACAAUUUAGCUUUUAGUUUACCAUGCAGUCAGAAACUUCAAAAUAAUGUAUGUGGUUCUUAUUUCUGAGAAAUACAAAUGAUGUUCUGGAGUUGCUCUGAAACAGGUUUUAUAAUGUACCGACAUGUGUGGUAGUGGAAUGAUGAGUUUGCAAUGUUUGAACAUAGAAACUGAAAUUUCUUCCUGACCUUUGGCAGCUUGAACUGCACGUGUCAAAAGAAGCAUCCAUUCUCACCAUAUAGUUUCCCAAUGAACCAACACUCUAAUGAUAGCAUUAUUCUCGUAAUCUUUGUUGUUCUAUUUUCACUUCAGCUCCCAUUUAGAUAUUUUUCCAAGAAUUGUCACCGUCAAUGGCUAAUUCUUGUCGAUGAAUUUUCUGACUGGUAUUAGGUAUCCAGCUCACAUAACCCUUCUGCGUGGAAAUCAUGAAAGUAGGCAAUUGACGCAGGUAUGUUCUGGUAUGGGUGAUACUGAUAAUUUUUGCUGUAACUAAAUGUCCUGAGUACAAUAUAUUCUGCUCUCAACUUAAAAGGUCAUGUAGCCAUCCAGUCACCCUGCAUGGUGCCUCUUAGAGCACUUUUGGUCUUAUUUGAUUCUGUUUAAGGUUUCAUUGGGGAAAAAAAGAGAAGAAAAAAAAGAAACAUCUGCGUGAAGCAUAAUAUAUUGAUUUUAGAAAGCUCGAAAUUAAUUCAGUACAUAUUGGUAUCAUUCUAGGGAAAUGGUAUUGUUACUGAUACCCUAACUAUGAUCUUACCUUGGCUUCAUGGUGCAUUGUGAAUCUACCAAUACAAGUUACACAUCUAUGAAUUUUGAGGUCUUAUGCUACUUAAAGUAACAAUCAUGUAAUUAGCCUGUCUGUCAUGCUUAGGCUUUCUUUAGCCAGUGCCUAAUAAACUAUCUAUCAACAUUGCUCCUUUUUUUGUGGUCUGCCCCCUCAUUUUGAUUUCAUAUGGCUAUAUAUUUUAGCUUGUAACAUACAUCGCAUGUUUGUAUCCAUUCGGUACCACAAAUAGCUGGAUACACAUGAAAUGCUUAUUUAGCACUUAUCAUGCAGGCAUGCUAAUAUUAUUGUGACUUAUCUUUAGGUGUAUGGUUUCUAUGAUGAGUGCCAGAGAAAGUAUGGGAAUGCCAAUGCAUGGCGGUACUGCACUGAUGUUUUUGAUUACCUUACGCUUUCAGCAAUCAUUAAUGGACAAGUAAGUUCCUCUGGGCAAAGAAUUUGCAGAUUGUCAGUUCAUGUUAUUUGGGACAAGUCAUACUUAAAUUAUAUGCUGAAUUCAGGUCCUCUGUGUUCAUGGCGGUCUUUCUCCUGAUGUACGCACUAUUGAUCAGGUUCGUGACUUUUCUUCUGUAGCUUUCGUAUAGUUAUUAUACUCAUCGGUCAACAUAGAUGUUUAUAGCUUCCAUAUUUCCUGUCUUGUAGGUAUGCCAUACUUAGUGAAAAUAUGUGAAGUAGAAAUAUAUUUUACUUGGUCUAUGAAAGGAUGAAAUUAUUACAACUAUUUGAAAUUUCCAUUGUCACCAAUGAUGCAAAUCAAUGUUUCAGUGCAUGUCUGCUAGAACUUUUGAAUGAGUGAACAGUUUAUAUAUAUUAUUUUCAGUGAUUUCUCUGUUCUUUUUUCAGCUGGUUGUGCUAACUCUUUUUUAAAAAAAACGUUUGCUAUAUAAUUUCCUUCAGUAGUAAGAACGGUUAUCAUCAAUGCACUGGUUGUGCUAAUUGUACAGUAAGAAUGGUUAUCAUCAAUGAACUGGAAAGUAACUGACCCUUAGCAUUGCUGACUCAUAUUUGUGAAGAAUGGUAGAGUAUCUGAUUCUGGGGUUGAUUUGGCCCUUAGCAUUUCUGACUUGUUUUCUGAAGAAUAGUAGAGUACAUGAUUCUGUUGCUUUUUAUGAAUAAAUGUUUCGAUGAGAUUAAACAUUUGAUUAUCUUUUAUCACUAGAUACGAACAAUUGAUCGCAAUUGUGAAAUUCCCCACGAAGGUCCUUUCUGUGAUCUUAUGUGGAGUGACCCUGAAGAGAUAGAGACAUGGGCUGUUAGUCCCCGUGGUGCAGGUUGGCUGUUCGGAUCACGAGUCACAGCAGAGGUGUGCAUACAAUCUUUCUUGCUAUUUUAUUAUUCCGAAUCGCCCUUUUAUUCAGUCCUUGGAAAUGCCACUUUUUGCUAUGCAGUUCAACUUUGUUAACGGUAUCGAGCUAGUUUGCCGAGCUCACCAGCUGGUGCAGGAAGGCUUAAAGUACAUGUUUCAGGAGAAGGGCCUUGUGACUGUGAGUUCUUAUUCCCACAUAGAUUGUCACUCGAGAUACUGGUAGCAUCAUAUUAGUAGUUUGUAUUUUUUUUUUAUUUCAGCAUGACUGAAUUGUUACAUUUGAAUUGUUUAUGAUGCUUUGUUUGUACUAUUUCUUUCCAGGUGUGGUCUGCACCUAAUUAUUGCUACAGAUGUGGCAAUGUAGCCUCCAUACUAAGCUUUGAUGAAAAGAUGGUAUGUUCUUUCGUUUAGAAGAGUUUGCUUGAAGUCUUCUGCAUACCUGAUUACUCUUGAGUAAAUUCAUACAAUAAGUUCAGCUCAAUCUUCAGCAUGUUUUGUUGUGCAUAUAUACAAGCAGUUUUUGUACAGAGAGAUUUUUUUGUGAAUGGGCAACAGAAAAGCAACCGGUGUUUCUGGCCAAUAUUUUUAGAUCUUAGUGAAGUGGUUAUACAAGUGAAUGUUACAGUACAUCUAGGUGGGGUCUCUCCUUUGUUCUGCAACACACCAAGUUUUUGUUAAGACAUUUUCUAUGCUUGCUAGUGAUAGCUGAUAGGCAGGGGCUGGAAAAUAAGGAAUAAAUCGUAGUCUUUUGAAUAGGGGUAGGGUUUCAGUUGGACCGUCAAUGAAAUAAGCAAAUUGUUGUCUUUCUGCAUCAACCAUGCUUUUUUGGGGAAUCAAGUAGACUUUGUGGUUUAGUGGUUCAUCUGCAACAGUUAUGCAUAUGCGGGUUUGUCUUGGCUGAGGAAGAGGGGUCGAAGUUGCCAUGAAAAGGCAAAGUCUGCUUGCUUUUGUCAAUAAGUACCAGCAGACCUCUGAUUCUUUUUCGCAUUAACAUCUGAUUGCUCCUAGUUUUGCAUCACCAAUUGUCGUGUAUCUUGUUUAUGACUGCAUGGUGGUUGGCAUGUUAUGCUCCACUGCGCUUUGCUUAACUUAAACCAAGGUGUAAUGAGAUGUAGCUGAUGCUGAUCAAUGCUGUGUAAUUUUCUGUUGCCAGGAAAGAGACGUCAAGUUCUUCACGGAGACAGAGGAGAACAACCAGAUGCGAGGCCCAAGGACCGCAGUCCCAUAUUUCCUCUGACUUCAAUUGUACAAUUUUAGAAGUCAAAUGUUUAAAUCUGUAAGGGCUAAAAGAUCCACCAGAGGUGUUUAUUGUUGUAGGUUCAGAUCAUAGUGCAAUAUGAUGCAUUUGAUUUCUCCAUUUUCUUUUAACCACAUGUACAAUAGACCAUCGGGAGUCAUAUGUUACUGUAUCCCUUCAGUGACACCGUCAAGUUUUGUUCUUGAUUUAUUUCACGUGCUAUUUAUCAUCGUGGACCGUGCAUGCGUUGUGCAACAUAAAAAUUUCUGCUGCCUGUUUAUUUUAUUUCUGAUGUGAUAUUUUCCUUUUAGUUUGCACUCGCCUAGUAAGAUAUUUUUCUUGAAAACAUCUCGUGUACGCACUUCCUGGCAUAUAUUCUUGGUUGGAUAGCUCCAGGUAUUUAUAAUGUAAUGCAGUUUGAUUCUGUGUGAUAAUCUUAUUUGCAAGCGUUUAACGUGAGACACACGGAACCGAAUUCAUCACCGGGUUGCGCAUGAAAGCAACAGUUGCGACGAUUUUAAAAGUGUACCAUCCAGCACGCAUACCUACCAAGCAUCUGCUCGCCAUCGGCCAGUGGCCGGUGACCAAGCAGGGCGCGGGUUCGCUGCGCGGCAGAGGCCACGAGCAGAUCAAGAUGCCUGCGCCGCACGGCGGGGGGGUUACGGGCUUUACGGGCGCAGGGCGUGUCGCCCACCUGCCCGCUCCUCCAACGGAGCGGAGAAGGCAUGCCCUCCGCUGCCGGUCUCCUCCCUCGCCCGCCCACCGGCGCGAACGAAUCUCACUUCUCAGUGACCGCGCGCGGUGCGCACGAACGUCGCCUUGGGGUGGGCACCAAGCCGCGUCACCGGCGCCCGACAGCGAUCGCCGUUUGCAUCGCCCUCCGGCCGCCGUCACUUUUUUUUUCCCUUGCUCUCGGUUAGAUGUACCCGUGAUUCGCUGCCCUCCCCGCCCACCCGGGCAGCUUUUGGGUUUGGACGCCGCGCGCCGUGCCGCGGCCUCAGAUCGUCGUCGUCCUCACGUGACCGGGGCUCCCCUCGGUUAAACAAAGCUUCGCCGUGCAUGUCAGGUGUCAGGUCGUGUCCUGUCUCGUGCGCUCGACUGCUCGUGCGACGGUGCGAGUGCGAGCCUGUGCCCCACGGCAGGUCAAACAACAGCAGACUGCUGAGCCUGCUGGUACCUUUUGGCAGGCGGAGGCUGUGCUGUGCUUGUUCCUUUUCCCAAUUCUCAUGACCGUUCAGGUGGCCCGUCCUGUCUUUACUCCUCAGUUCAUUUAAUACCGGUAGUGGUCUUUGAACUUUUGUUUGAAAAAAAAAAGGAUUCAAAUCUCGCCAUGUCUGUAAUAACUCCCUUGAAUGUACAGUACGUAUUUAUUUUUUUUCAAAUGAAUGCACUCAUACGUAUGUUUGACCGGCAACGGAUCGAUACUUCACCAGUCCACUUCUCAACAGCAGAAAAUAACCCUGCGUUUCUAUUUUCUAGUUUUCUUUCGCAGAAUGAUGGGAGAUGCAAGUGAUAGUGCAGCUCUCGACGAUCGAUCGAACCAUGUAUCUAGAAAAGAAAAGAGAGAAAUGCACUUGUACACUUGGCCUUGUAAGACAAGCGUGAUGGAACGAACCAUCCGGUUUCGCCAGAAAACAUUUUUUUUUUCUGGACGAGCUAAACAGAGCCGCGAAGGAGCAAAUCGAAACAGCAGCAUAUCCUACUUGGCAUGGCAGAUCCUCUGGUUGUGGUUACAGCAAAAUUGCGGAUCAAAAAAAAUUAGAGGGAAAUGUCAGUAACCUUUUAGUUCCUAAAUUGCCAAACAGGAUGCCUAAAGUUUAAACCUUUAGUACCUGUUGCGUAUAGGGAUUAAAAGAUACUGGACAGUGUGUACCCCUCUGUUAAUCCCUCUGUUAAUCCCCCACCCCACCCGUCCCGAUCCCGCCCGCCC